rnacentral:lncRNA from 1 species
AAAUAAAGUAUAAUUUGCAUUAAUUCCAACAUAGGUUAUUUUUCUUUCUAUAGUAUCCUUCACAUAUGUUUUGUUAAUUAAAAUAAACUGGGUGUGACAAGAGCAAUCUUGGUUCAAAUCCUAUAUACUGCACAUGUGCAUAUUUUGUGUGAGAAAUUGUAUGAUGUGUGACAGCUAGAAAUUUGCUAGCUACAUAUACCUAACUUUUUAUGCGCGGGUGCGGCUGACUAGCUUCUCCAGAGCAAGCAGACUCAUGCCCCUCCAGGUGUAGUUUGGUCAAGGAGGGAGCAGAGGCGCCGGCCACCUCAGAAAUCUGUCACGGUUUAACUUGUCACUUGUGGCAUGUCGGGCGUAGGGCUAUGUUUUUUUUAACUAAAUAGCACAGAAUGGAUAAUACAGCAUUUUGCAAUCGCAAAUAUGUGUGCGUUUGUGGGUAGGGGUAUUGUUACGUACCGUUGAGAGAAUUAAAAGAAAGAUCCAGCAUUGUUAGCUGGGUCAAAUUAACUAUUGAGCUUGGUACGCUUCCGGAAAAAUUGCAAACUCGAAGAACCAAAUUUGUGAGUUCACCAAUUGCAGCUGGCAUUGGUCCUGAAAACCCACAUGAUACUAUAUACAUGUUUCUCAAAUUUGUGAGUUGCCAAUUGGAGCCGGCAUUGAACCUGAAAACCCAGAAUGCUCGAUAUACAUGUUUCUCAAAUUUGUGAGCUUGCCAAUUGCAGGCGGCAUUGGUCCUGAAAACCCAACAUCCUCGAUAUACAAGUUUCUCAAAUUUGUGAGUUCACCAAUUGCAGCUGGCAUUGGUCCUGAAAACCCAACAUCCUUGAUAUACAAGUUUCUUAAAUUUGUGAGUCCACCAAUUGCAGCUGGCAUUGGUCCUGAAAACGUAGAUAAUAUAUGCAAGUUUCUCAAAUUUGUGAGGUUGCCGAUAGAAGAUGGCAUGGAGCCAUAUGUUGUGCAAUCAUCCAUUGCAAGUGUUUGCAAGCCCGUGAGGUUUCCAACUGCAUGAAGUACUGGCCUAGGGAGGUUGCAGUCUUGGAUUUUCAAGUUUUUCAAGUUCAUGAAGUUGCUAAGUAAGGUAGGCGGUACCCCAGAGAAGUUACAUCCAAAGAGUCCCAAACUUGUUAGGUUUUUGUGCUGGCCAAUCCAUGAGAAAAUUGGACCUAAGUCGCUUCCUGAGUCCAAAUCGUGGUCCAACUCAUUAUCCAAAAAACAAUCAAGGUCCAACUGGUGUAGAGACUCAAGUCUACCGAAUGCAGAGAGAAAAUCCAUAGAAAUUAAAUUCCUUUUAAGACCCAACUCCUUCAACGAUGUGAAAUUACUAGAAGGCGUUGGUAUGUCAUAUACCAAGUUGGUCCCAUCAAGUCUCAAAGUCUCUAAAGAGCUGGCAUUAGAAAAGUUUGGCACAUGGCCUGAGAGAUUCAUAUUAUAGGACAAAUCAAGGACCCUUAGAUUUUUUGAUUGAAAGGGUCUAGAUGGUAACGGCCCCUCAAGAUCUGUCUGAGAAAGUUGAAGCACGGUUAAAUUGGGAAAAUCCAUGAAGAACUCUGGAAAUGGACGACCACUAGGUUCAUAAAAGUUUUCUUGGAGUUUGAUCACAACAAGAGAAUGGAGUCUCGAGAGCGCUUUAUGAAUAGGACCACUCAGGUGACAAUCAGCUAAACUAAGUACCUGAAGUUGAGGAACAUAUGCAGCAAGAGAUGUGCCCCACUCUUCUCCACUAUUAGACAAAUCCACCGAGUCAAGGUAGAGCUCUCUUAAGUUGCUGAGGUUUACCACAAAGGUAUCAAAACUUGAUUCCCAUAAAUAGUUAUAAUAAUCAUAAUAGUUUGGACCAUAAAAACCGAGAGAAUAAUCAAUAUUGUAUGUUGAAAGAUCCAAUGAGAGAAGGUUCACUAGUUUACUGAUGCUAGGAGGUAUCUGACCAUAUAAUCCUGAAUUGGAAAGGUUUAGGUGGGUUAAAAAAGUGAACCUCUCAAAACCAGCAGAACGGAUGUUGUCUCCACCGAUGUCAUUCAUGCUAAGGUCGAGUCGCCGAAGUGAUAUGAGGCUGAAGAGUGCAGGGUCCAAGCCAUGACUUGACAAGCAACGGUUGUUGAGGUCGAGAAUGGUGACAUGGCCAGACGAAGGGUCACAGCCAACACCCUCCCAGAGACAACAGUCGGUACCAUUUCGCCAUGAUGAAAGCCUGGUGGUGGAUCUGUGAAGGAGAAGGACUUCUUCAGCUGGAGGAGCGCCUUAGCUUGGUUUGGAUGGCACAAAAAUGAGACAGGGAGGUGAGUGAGGUUACCACCAUCAGCACGGUGGGCAAUAGAGGUGGAGAGUAGUGUGUGUAGCUGAGCAAGAAAGAGCAGUAACACCCAGCCGAUGGAAGCCAUAGCAACUCAGUAUGAGCCGAUGAUAGGCUUACAAAGAGGCACAAGGCAGAUACAUAGUAAUGCGUGACAGAUUGUUAUGCAGCUUCCAGCUGCUGUCAAGUCUUCGUCCAUUAAUAAAUUAAUUAAUUUACGAGUACCAUGGCUAAGCUGUACGCAAUUGCGACACCUGAGGAGACUUGACUGUACCAUGGGCUAGCUGUACGCAAUUGCUACACCUGAGGAGACUUGAUUAGCCUUUCGUCAAAUGCUGUUGGUAUCAUCCACUGCUACAACAGUGACCGGUAAUUGGAAGUCUCACUAUAGCAAGACUUCCAAGUCAACUAAGCCGGCCGCUACAUUCUGAGGAAGGUGGAAUUGAAGAUCAAAUCAAGUUGGGCGUUGGGAUGAAUUAGUCCGCACUCCGCAGAUAACAACAUCGAAUAUGCUGAUCUGAUGAUGUGCUUCAUUUUCUUUUUGGUUGGAGUGGAGCGGCAUCAAGAUCCUACUGCUGUGGAAAACACUGACUUGACUCGUUUUAUCUCGCACAAAACGUGGCUGAAGAUGAUAGUGGUGCUUAAAGAAUCAGCGAGAAGGAGCAAGUAAAAAUGCAGUUGAGCUGCAGCUGAAACAUGUCGCGACGUAUUCCAGCCGCGGUAGUUCUCGUCUUCUCGAAGAAGACGUUGCAGUGUUCACGUCUAGAGCUCAUCCAAUCCAUAGCGUUCCUCCGGCCGAACCGUGCGAUACGAAGGAGACGUCGCGUCACAUGCAUGUUCCUCAGGUCGCCUUUGCCUACGACCAAUAAGACGAUGACACCAGAACCUUUUUGUUUUUUUUUCUAAUCAGCAGCUUUCAAAGCGGGUACCCGCGGACAGCGCUGACCGUGUCAAAUUUGGCGAGCAUUAGCCGCAGUUGCACUCGUCCACCACCACUGAUUGCUGAAGCUCCCUACAAUACAGGGUAAGGAACAUCUAAGAUCUGAGCAAGUAAAGUCAGGAUAUUUAACUAUUUGUCAUUCUUACGGAUGGUGCUCCUUCAAAAACAACUCUAACGAAUUCCUACAUAUCUGUCAUUGAAGAAAGAAUUAGUCUAAACUUUUACCAUUUUUGCAGAUGUGGUGAGCCACGUCCUCGUGCUAGCGUGAAUUGAGCUGGCAAUGACCAUAGUGCCCCUGCCUCCCUCACCUUAGCCAUCCCCUUCCCUCUAUCCUGCCACACCUAUUGCUGCAUGGUCUUUCGUUGUUGUGCGGCUCCUCUGUGGUACAUCGCAGGGGAGGAUACCACGACUUGGAGGUGCCGGGGGGGAGGAGGAUACCGUGUUGAUGCGCAAAUCUAGGUGUCCACUCCUUCAUUGAAGGAUAUCCAAACACGGCCUAUUCACAGACAUGGCCACUUAACUUUCAGCUUACAUCUCUUGAUGUGUAAUAUGGCUCUGUUUGGCAUGGCUCCAACUCCAGGUUUUGCUGCUCAACUUCGGCUGGAGCUAGCUUUGCUUGGAGUUGGAGUUGGAGUUGUGUGGAUGGGAUGUUUGGUAGAAGGGUACCCAGCUCCAAAAAAAGAGGAUUUUCAUAGUUAAUUGCCAUUUUUGCCCCCUGGCCCCACAUGUCAUCCUCUGUAAUACCAAUUUUUUUCCUUUUUUGUGAGCUUAUAUUCUUCCUUGGGACUGAAUCAGCUCGUCUGCUCGCCCAUGGCCCGCGAGGCCUGGCUCGAUUCACCCUACCCAAGCUAGUAACCAGAUAGAGUCAGCAGCGCACCGGAUGGGGGCUAGCAGUGGCAAACAGUUCUAGGUCGGCAGCAGGCGGAUCACAGGACGUUGCCGAUGCACGGGAUAGAGCUUGCGGCGUGUAGAAUGGGCGCGGCGUAGGAUGGGGCCAGCUGGCGACGUGCAGGAUGGGGUGCGCGGGGUGGGGCCAGCGGCGUGUAGGAUGGGUGGGCGGUGCGCGGGACGGAGCCACCGCACAGGAUGGUAGUGGUGUUGGAUGGGUUUAGCGGCGCGCAUGAUGAGGUUGACAUGUAGGACAAUGGCGGUGCGCAAGGGGAACGAUGGCUCCAGCCCUCACGCGCGAUGGCGGAGGCGCAAGGUGAUGGUGACGGCGCAUAGUUGGAUGGCGGCAGCGGCAAGGAUCAAGGAGCAGCGGCACGUGGGCUGAGGGUUGGGUCCUGGGCUAGGGGCGGCACAUGGGUUGGUAGUCACGAGGGAGAUGAAGGUUGUGGGAACAGAUGAAGCGGGGGGGGGGGGAUAGAACCGAAACAUUUUCUUGUGUAACCGACGGUAGUGGUGGGUAAGUAUCUUGUAACUCCACGUCUAGAUACGUUUCGCAGUGUUUUGGAUCUGUGAAAGUGGUGUUCUACGAAAAUGAACUAGAACUCCAAUAACUCCAUGAAGUUAGACUGCUUCAUUUUUUUUUGGAGUUGGGGUGUUUGGCUGGCUUUAUUUUUUGGAGUUCGGGUAUUGUUUUAUUUACAUGGCUUUCCUAUAUAUCUACCGAAAGAUAAUUACUUAUAUAUCGCCUGAUGUUUGAGACUGGUGCAGUGCAAAUAGACCAUGAAGACUGUGGGGAGCAAGAAAUGCAUGCACUGACUACAUACGUGACCAUGGAGUUGGACAAUGACACGUGUCAUCAACUGAAAUGUUGGACGUGGUGGGACAAGUGGGUGAGAGUGGCUUGUUUGAAUUUCAAUCUUUAAAAGAACUUUAUCUCUUAAAUCACAAGUUAUUUUUAAAUCUAUUUAAUUUGAACUGUGGCAUUUCUUUGAAUCGAUUCAACAAAUAAGGUCCAAUGAAAUAUUUUAAAUGUUUUUUCAAAAAAUCAAAUAUACUAGCUCAUGUUACAUAUACUAAUUUAAUAUUUUGAAUAUACAAUUUCAACAUUGUAAUUAAAUUGAUUCAUGUUUUAUAUAACAUGUAAACAUUUUGAAAUAAAAAAUUUUGAUCUAGUUUUUCCAAAAUGUUGACUUAUGGUUUGAAAAUUGUUGAAUAUAGUUGUUUCAAAUUGUUGAUCUAGUUUUUGAAAAAUGUGAAAUCUAAUGUUUUUGAAAUGUUGAUAUAUGUAUUGCAAAAUGCUGAACAUCAUUUUUUCAAUGUUGAUCUAGGUUUCAAAAAAAAUGUUCAAUCUAGUAUUUAAAAAAUGUUGAUCUAGGUUUUGCAAAAUGUUGAAUAGAGAUUUUUAAAAUGGGGAUGUAUGUCCGGCACAAUGUUGAAAAAAAAACAGAGUUGGAAAUCAAUAUACAUGUGUGAGACCAGAUACACAGGUUAGCUCACACUUGACAAUAGCGCAGGUUUUGUGCAAGGCCAGAUGCUUGAGCACAACACACUUAUUUACCCAAAAGAAGAUUAACAAGUACAAGAAGUAACAGCAGAAGAAAGACCAAAGUAUACCGCAACACCUCAUCAGAUCACAGAUCCUUCACUUUCACUAGAGCAUAAUUCAUUCCUUCGAAAGUCACACCUUCCAGCAGCGUUCAAGUUCUAGAAACUCUUGCAGUUGCAAUAAACCAUCUGCCAACCCGAUUCCAUCUCACCAGAAUAGCAGCUGCGAAUCCGACACCAAAGCCCAACCCGGCGAAGAGAAACAAGACCACAUCAACAUGAUGAAAUGACUUGUCUACCUGUGCAACACCAGGAGUGUAAGGUGAAGCGCCAUAGGGUAACUUUGACAGCGGUGGCCCGCACAGUCCAGCAUUUCCUUCAAAUGAACUGCUGUCAAAUAUAUGUGCAGAACUGACGCGAUUGCGGUAUCUUCCCCACCAAUUUUUUUUGAAACUGUAGACCCGGCUGAGAUUAUCGGACUUGUAUUAAUUAAUAGAGAAGAGAGUCACAGGGCCUAAGCCAAAAAUAAAGGAAAAAAUAUAUAUUGAAAUUACAAAUUGGCGGUGUGAAACGGCGAUCAUUCGUCGAUUUGGCAGAUAGAGCCUAAGUGCCUUGCUCCCACUAAAAUCCAACAUCGCGCCUCCUCCUUGAUUUUGCCGAGUAGUUGGUCGAGGCUUUUGAAUUUUUGUUGAAAAACUCUAGCAUUGCGCUCCUUCCAGAUUUCUCAAGACACCAGAAUGAUCAGUGAUCUGAAACCCUUCAGCGGGGUGCCACUCAUUGACCCUAGUUGUGUCCACCAUUGGCUCACAGAUGAAAUUGUAGUCCAAUCUCCUCUAGGCGGGAUGUGUGCAGCCGUCCACUCAAAUAUUUUGUCCCAGACUCGUAGAGCAGAUGCAAUAAUAUUUCGUCGUGCGAGUGACAAAGCAUGCAUACUUUUUGAUUGGGCCAUCCUUGCGUAAUCAAGCGAUCUUCCAUCCACAGUCUGUUUUGAUAGGCGAGCCAUGAGGAGAAUUUGCACUUCGGUGGUGCCCAUGUUCUCCAGAUUAGGUGCUCCAUGUCCGAGGGUAUUGAAGAUUGGAACCGCACCAUGUAUGCCGAAGUUGUUGUGUAUUCACCGUGCUUGGUCAGAUUCUAGGUGAUGGAGUUUGGUGUUCCCGGGUUGAGCUAGAUUGAUCUUGUUCCGGCUCAAAGGAGAGUCAAUUCUGAGAGAUGUGUCGUUGAUGAUAUGAUGGCCACAUUGAUGUCCUAAAUCCACCUGUCGUUGGUUAUGGCAUCCUGACCGUUCUUCUCUUGUUUUUUGAAAUUUUAUACACCGACGGCGCAAUAUUUCUUAGCGCUUCCCCCUGCAGCCAUACCGAGUCCCAGAAUUUGGCCUUCUCCCCAUCUCCUAACGUGAUGGUCAUUGCAGACGCGAACAACUUUUUAUCCUUGUCGUUGUACGGUGUUGGCAUACCGACCCACGGUUUGCGUGGUUCCUUCCAUUCGUGCCAUAACCAUCAUAGUCUCAAUGCUCGUGUGAACUUCUUUAGAUGCAGUAUUCCUAGGCCACCAAGUUUAGUCAGUUUGCAUGCUGUGUGCCAUGCCACUUUACACUUGCCGCCGACAAUCUGAUCUGCACCAGUCCAGAGGAAACGCUUCCUUCAUUUGUCUAUUUCUUCCAGUAUCGUUGCUGGGGCGUUUAGGGCAGAGAGGUAGUAGAUCGGUUGUGAUGAGAGGACCGCCUUGACUAGUGUUCUUCUUCCCGCUGGGUGAGCAUCUUGCCAGCCCAGUUGGCUAAUCUUGCGUUCUCUUUGUCGGAUAAUGUCUCAAAGUGAGCCUUUUGUAAUCUGCCUAGUGUAGUCCUAGGUAUUUGACUAGGAAGGUUGCUCUUGCUGCUGGGAAGGGGGCUAGAAUCGAAUCCAGCUCGAGUCUAUUGCAACAUAUGGGUGCUACCGAGCUUUUCUGAUUGUUAGUGAUUAGCCCGUUGACUUUGCCAAAUUUGUCUAACAGCUCUUUGGUGUUCCGAACAUUCGCAGUUGUCAGAUUAAUGAAAAUUACCGCAUCGUCCGCGUAUAACGAUAGGCGUAAGCGGGCACCACCGCAUCUCCUCCACCUCAAACCAAACCCUAGCUCCAAGCCGCACACGCUAACAUCGACACCCGAGCCACCGCAACCCUAGCUAGCCACACGCCGUCGUCGAUCCGUGCCGUCGCUGCAUUUCCGUCGCCAAGAAGACCCCCAGGAGCUUUGCCGCAAGGUGAGGAAGCCCCUGGUGUGGCUCUUGUGCGCUCCCAUGCCUCUCUCCACGCGCACGAGCUCGCCGGAGUUCGGCAAGCUCGGUUGGGCCGCCUCAUCGAGCCUCCGGCCGCCACUAGCGCCCAAUCCUCCUCCUCAACACCCUAGAUCAACUCUUCGUGUCUGUAGCUUUCUCCAGGGCCAGAUCCUAUUGAAAAUUGUACCUGGAAACUCAAUUCUGAGCAAAGUCCAGCAUGUCGCCGCCGCGUGCCGCUCGCCUCCGCCGCCCGCGCACCGUCGAUCUCCUCUCGGUAGCUGCUAGCCGUACGAUCUGCUUUCGACAGCUCAGAUCCAAUCUAAUCCGAGUCAAACCAGCCGCGUACCGGUCAAACCCCAUGCUGCGCUGUUCGUUUUUCUAAAGAGUCCCUGGGUUUCGAGGUUUUUGCACCUGAGGUCCAGCGUAGUUCAAAGAUCAUUAGAUCUAGGUCCUUUUUCUUCUGUUCUAGCCCCUGAGCUUUUGCAAAAUAGUGCCCACCAUCCUAGAUCCUCUCUUUUGCGCGUUAAACCUUUGGUUUAUCCGCGUAUUUAUGUUUUAGCCCUCGGUUUCUCCAAGCUUAGCUUCUGAAAGUUUUAAAUCUUUGCCAACAAGCUCAUGCACCUUGUUUAGUGCAUAUCUUUAGCGUUUUAGGUCCGUUUUCAGUGCUUCCUGUGUCUAUGAGUUUGUCUUUACGCAUAGAUUAGUUUUAUGAUCUUAUUUCUCUCUAUUGUUACUGAUUGAUGUAAUGUUUUCUUAUUUUAUUCCUUUGCUUGCUUGUAUGUGAUCGUGUGAUGGGUCAGAAGGACUGCAACUCGAGGGAUUCGGAGGUCAAGACUUUGAAGACUAUGAGCAGCUGGAGCAAAUCCAAGAAGCCAAGUUGUGCCCCUGUUCACAACUAAACCUAUGAAACUUUUUACUUUCCUGUUCAAUAACAUUUAUGCCAUGCACUUUAAGUUACAAACAUAAUGGAUCCUAACUAAGGAGUGACUAGUUUUAUUCCCAGUAUAUUGAUCAACCCGGGCUUACAUAAUGUUGGGUAGUACAUGCUUAGUUUCUCAACUUGGGUAUGGUGGUAUUAGUGAACUUGAUGGUUAAACUUGUUUUAUUUAUGCUGUGCUUUUCAUUAACACAAGAUCACCAUGCUUAAAAUUGGAACAUGGAGAACCACCCGGGAAAACAAUACAACCACAAGAACUAAAUGGAUCUGGUCUUGGCUAAUUAAUUAGAGACUUUAGUCUGGGGUAAUCUUACCGAAAGGGCAAGAGGGGCGGUGGCAGAUGGGGUAUAACCCGGUCCUCUUGUGAAGUGAGCUUUGCUAAGAUACUAUGCCCACUAGGGAGGUUUAUACUCUGCAACUGAUCUGGAAACCUUAGCGGGUUACCGCUUACUAGGGGAUCUUUGUAAAGACCUCGUAGCGUCCCUAUGCAAUCACACCUCGGUAGUGUGGUAUUGUGCCUAGCCCGCACAGCAUGGUUGGGUCUAAAGUUCUUUUGAACUUUUACGCGACUUGUGGGUAAAGAUGUGCAACCUCUGCAGAGUGUAAAACUGAUCGAUCAGCAAUGCUCACGGUCAAGAGCGGCCUGGACCCUCACAUGAUUAAAUUAUCGGAAGUUGAAUUAAAUUAUUGUUAUUUAUUUCUGUUAUCUUUAUUUAUGUUCAUGCUUAAUGUGGGUGGUAUAAACUUACAUUUAGUAAAUGCUAAUAAAACUUGACCAACCAAUUAAAAUGCUGACUUGCUAAUCAACCUUAGCCUAUCCUUGAACAGCCUUACACUACACAUUCCUCACGCUUGCUGAGUACCAACCAUAAGUGUACCCACCCUUGCUAAAACCGCUACUCAAAAUAAGUCAACGAUGUGGAGCUCUUCCAAGAUUGGGAGGAGUACUAGGCGUACGUGUUUCUCCAAUCAUCUGCCUGUGAAGUCGCCGUUUUCGUUGAAGAUCCGCUACGAUAAUAAUAUUCUUUUUGCUAUUCAGUUUAAAAGACUAUCGGUCAUGUAAUAAUUGUAUACUCUCUCUACGUUAUGACAUUGUCUUUGUUACUCACUGAAGUCGUCGCAUGUGUGUAAUUUGAUCCCGGUGCACAUGUAAUUUAUGCAUUAGUUUUGCAUUUAAAAUUGGGUGUGACAGAGAGAUACAUGGCCUUUUAUAUUGCUUCUGGACAUGCUGAGAUAUCUGGUGUCCCUAAGAUAGGAAGCCCAGUUGGGUGGGACGGAAGAGAAUCUGUUGUUGGAAUAUCCCAAGAAAGAAGCUGAUGCGUUUGGCAUUGGGAUCUGCCCUAAAAGCUUAUUGAAACUAAGAUCAAGCACUAGUAGUGAUUUACUAAAAGGGAGAACAUCCGAAGCAAGUUGCAUGCCCGUAAGCACGUUAUGCGAAAGAUUCAAAUAAUAAAGGCUACUACUGCUCCAUGUCUCCCAGAUCCGAUUUGGUAUAUCCCCACUGAUUUUAUUAGAUGAAAGAUCCAAAUAUUGUAUAUUUUUAAGACGCAUCAAAGAUGUUGGGAAUCGAAUUAUAUUGCAAGACGCGAGCCCUAAAUAGUAAAGUCUGGCCAAAUAGGUAGCCAAAGGAUUAUUACCAUCUGCAUCCGUGACAUGCAACUCAUUGUAGGAAAGAUACAAACUGGUGAGAUCACUUAAUCUCCAAAAAUGGGAGAGGUUCACGGAACCUAUCAACUUGUUCGAGCUAACAUCUAUAUGUACCAAACUUGUUAGUUGAAAGAAGGCCAUGGGAAUAAAACCUGACAGAACAUUGUUGCUCAAGCGCACUUUCGCCAACCGUGAUUCUGCCUUGUCAAAGCCAUAUAUGGGGCCAGAAAGUUGGUUGUAAGAAAGAUCCAGGACACUUAAUGCAGGAAGACUGAAUAUAGAUGCUGGAAUCUCUCGUGCAAAGACAAUAGAAAACAUUAAGUUAGAAAGUCUCCUCUUCUAGAAAUAUCUGAAUUCAGAAAAUGAUGGCUCCUAUUUUGUUCAGAACAUGAUAAGUUAUGCCACUGAUACUGUACCAGCGAAAAAGCUCCCAAGCCUAGUUAUUUUAUCCUUAGAAAAUUGCAUGACAUGGACUCUAAAAGCCAACACUUUAUGUGGUUACACUUAAAGAGUGUUUUGUUUCACCACUCAGUCCAACUGCAGAACGUGCGGCUAGCGGCCUUCACGGAGGAGCAAACUGGAGCGCAAGAGGAGAAAAUCACCAGAAUCAAGAGAGCUGGGGUAGCAAAUCGCCCAUUUGUUCCUGUUUUGUUGGCGUGCUGUUUAUGGGUAGUGUUGUUUAUUUUUAGGUGUAUGCAAAAAGUAUUCUUGAUGAAAUAUGUUGCAUCACAUAUUCUAGAAUAAAAAAGUGAAAAUAUUGGUGCUCUGUUGAAUUUCAAUUAUAUUGCUGGAAUUCCUUCCUCCAUUUUUUUCUUUUUCCUUUUCUUCAAUUUUCAAUUAUGUUUGAUGGAAUUUCUUUGAUUCAAAUUCGACUAUAAUUUAUUGAGCUUCAUGCACCAAUCGGUUGCACCUAAAGUCUUAACCCGAUUUGGAAGGACGAUAGUUCUAUUAUACUUCAACAUAAUUAACACUCAAAUUCCAAGGAAAACCACUUCAAAUCCCAACAGCCAAGUGGAGCCACAUGGGUAUAGUGGGGAUUUAGGACCUCAUGUUAUACUUGUGCAUUUAACAAAGGUUAGCAACUCUAUUAUAUUUUAAGAGUUUAGGAAUCUAGAUGACUUCAAGGAAAAAGUUCAGAGAUCGAUAAUCAUUAGGAAUAGCCAGACUUUUGGUCCUACAUCGAUUCUUUUUUUCUUAAGCGGCUGGCACCAUUACACUGCCCGACAUAUAUUGAUAGGGUAGGAGGUCUUACAUCCAUUCCACUUGUACAGCAACUAGUGUAACUCAAGGGCUAAACAAUGUGCUCCAAAAAUGCUUGAACAAGUAAACACAAGCCUGAGCAUAUAUUGGGGCCGUUCGGUUGAGCUGGCUGCUGCUGUUAAGCAGCACAGCUGAUCAGCCGGCCAUGCAGCUGCUACAGCAGCGCAUCAGCUAGGCAGUGGCGCAUCAGCUGGGCAGCAGCGGCUGCAGGCAGCUACUUUUGUACCCAGCGAUCAAGUCAAGUUUUGAAAACAAACAAUGUUGUAAACUCAGUUGGAACUGGAUUAUAUAAAAGGCAAAAUUCAAUGAGCAAACAAAGGUCACUUUAAACAAUCAUUGAAAGAGCAAGUACAAAUAUUUUUUGAUUGAGGCUUCAGAAUAUAAUUGCAACAAAUUACAGUACAGAACCACAUUGAUAAUAUUCAGAUGACUAACCUAUUAAAAUAAGAUCACAAAUGCAUACCAUAUUUCAUGAUAAUGUGACCAGUGAAUCAUUAAUUCAUCUAAAAGACACAUUUUUUUUCAGCUCCUUCAGAAAAAAGAAAUACCGUGACAAGCAUUGCCGUCUCAGCUCCUUGAUUGUCUUUAAAAGUAACGUAGGCAAGCAGACAAACAGAGAAAUAGGCCCAAUAUAUUGACUAAAUAUAUGAUACAAGCACAACCACAUAUCUGCAGACAGUGAUAUGAACCAAAUCACCAGAAGCGCUAUCCAUAACUCUCAAACACCUCAUUUUAGUUUCCAAGACCUGGGCACCCUGAUAACAGUCUAGUCUAGCACAAAAUAAAUGGCAUGCAUAUUGAACUCAAGAGUACACAGGGCAUACAAUUAGAACAUUUUAGCCCUACCCUACAAUAGUUGAUCAGUGCUUUCUCAAGUCACAACAACAACAAAUUAGAAAGAAAUUGAUAGGUUAUAUUCAUAACAACAAAAUAGCAAAUUGAGAAAAUAUCUCCGUCAUGUCAACCCAUAAAGUCCCGCUGCAAUCCAAUCACGAACUUUACUAAUAUCAUCGUUGGCAGUAGCGGCAAACCAAUCUGAUGCAGGAUCAUUUUCAUCACUUGUCCUACUAAGAUAGGUCCCAUGAGCAAACAUGUCAGCACCAACCAUUCCCGGUUCGUUGUUGUCCAAUGCAAAAUUGUGUAGCGCAAAGCAUGCAACAAUAAUCUUUGAUUGCUUCUCCAUAUUAUAUAACGGUAUACCUCUUAGAAUCUGCCACUUAUUCUUUAGCACUCCAAAAGAUCGUUCCACAACAUUCCGAAGGCACGAAUGAUGGUAGUUAAAAAUUUCAUUCAAAUUCUCAGGACCUUUGGCAUUAAACUCCGAUAAAUGGUACCUGCCCUUGCGAUAUGACGCCAUAUAACCCUCACGCAGUGGGUAACCAGAAUCCACCAAAUAGUACUUUCCUACAUAUCAACAUUGUUAUACAAAUAGCAAUUUAGAUUGGCACUCCCAUAUGUUGCAUACUAUAAAACUUACAAACAACAUAAGAUCACCUUGGGGUGGGUGAGGGAAAUGCUCAGCUUGGUUUAAAGCCUCCCUCAAAAUAGCAGUGUCAUGCACAGCACCCUUCUUCCCCGUAGCGACAAAUGUGAACCUCAUGCCCAUGUCACAAACGGCUAAGACAUUCUGGCUGGUGAACCCCUUUCUAUUGAUAAAAUCAUCAUGUGCGUGCUCAGGGACUGACACCGGAAUGUGGGUUCCAUCUAUAGCUCCUAUGCACCCAUCAAAAUAUGGUGAGAAUUGAUGCAGCUUAGGAUGCACAUACCUGAACAGUGGAUCCAUUGGUCUAAUAAUAGUACGUGCAAAAGAGACCACGGCAUCUAACACUUCACCGAACUUCCGACUCACGGUGUCUAGUGACCUACGAAAUCUAUCCGACAUUUGUCUCUGGCAUUGUCUUGUGCCACAUGCCCAUAGGAACAUCCCUAAUGCCUCAACUGAAUCACAUUGUCGUGUGGAUUUUAGCCCAUGGUUGGACACUAAGAUUGAAUGCAACAACUGGAAUGCAGAUGGAUGGAGACGGAAAUUUUUGUAGCACUUCUUACUGUCAGCAAGGUUAAUAGCAACCCAUUGACGCCCAGUCAACUCCUGCAAGUGCAACGGACCAUCUUGCAUGCCACAUGCACUUGAGGUAGACGAUGCAUACGCAGCUAACACACCAAUGGUUGCACCCAUGUACCACCAUGUAGACCCCUCAUCGUUCAACCUUGCUGGUGAGGUGCUGGUGUUGCUCGAAUUUUCGGAGCUUGACUUUCCUUUCAUUUUCAGACCAUAACAGUGAUCAGUGGUCCCAGCUUCUGUAAUCAGCGAUCUGGAACAAAUCUGAUUCUUUGUUAAGCCUAGAUAUGCUAGUUUCAAGACGACAUAUAAAAAGCAUGCCAUGUUUUCUUAUCUAAGAAUCUCUAAAACAAAAUAAUAGCAUAUUCAGUACCCAUCUUUUAACAUGUUGUGCCCCUUUUCUUUUCUUUCAAAAAUCCUAAGUACUUAAAUAUGGAAAUAUGAUUUCAUUGCAUACCUUUACGAUCCAUUUGACCUUCACUUGUUGAUAGCCACCUCAUUCAUCGUGAAGACCUUCAGGCUGUAAGGUUGUAAACAAGAAUUUCCAAAAUGUUAAAAACAACAGUAGCAGCAUCAUACUCAAGUGGAACGACACAAAUUUAUAUGGAUUAGUAGCAUGAAUAAUCAAGGUCUAACACAACAUAAUUCACAUUACAAACAUGAUGCCACACCAUGCCAUAGUCACAGUACAAAUACACACAUUCCUAGGUAGAUGCAAAUACAUUGUAAUCAUGGACCGGUAUUACUUCCUCUUGACAUUAUCCCAAGUCCAUCGGAGCCAUGCAAUCCGGUUCUCUGAAGCGGUAAUGCUCCUAUAAGAUGCACGUCGGGCUGGUGAUCUAAACAGCUCAGUAGCUAUGAAGUACAACUCAGACCCAUUCGGUACACCAUCUUGUUCGACAAGGUGCAGCAUUUCCGUAACCUCCUCUUCCUCACGGCUGAUUAGAUUUCUUUCAUUCAUAGUCCUUUGAAUCAUGCUCUCAGAUAUACGCUCGACAUAGUACUCCAUGCUCUUAGUUCUCUUGGGUGAUGGGCUAUCAACAACAUGCUCCUUUCCGGACCUUUGCGACACACGACCCACACUAGACCGUCCAACAGUGUCCUCCAACCAGUCAACAUUUUCAUCCACCAUUGGGUCAGGGGUGUCUUCACUUCCACAGCUUGGUGUUCUAUCUUCAAUUCCACCAACACACAACAUUGGACCGCCUUCAAUGUCCGUUGUCCCGAAAAGAGUGGUUAACUCAUCAUAGAAUGGAAAUGUCUUGCCACGGAAAUAUUUGUUUGCCUCGUUCUCCUAGAAGUCAUAAAUAGGAAAUAUGUAAGCAUGAGGGCAAUCCGAGGUCAAAGCCGAAGGUAAAUGAUAGAAAGCCAUAAUUAUUAGGACAAAAAGUAGGUAACUCAAUUCGGGCUGCCCACCAUUCAUCAUCGCAAUCAAUGGUGCGGGUACUGUUGUUCCACCCGGUACCACUCUUGUCCUUUAGUUUCCUCCAAUCCUUGUAUUGCCUCUUAAAGGCAUUAAAUUUGUUCUGAAGCUGUUUGCAGGAAUAUUUCCUGCCCAUCUAUUGUUUGAAAUUUGUAUACAGGUUGUGCCAACCUACCUUGGUUAGGCCCCUUUUGUUGUAGUUGAGCUUGUUCUUCUCAUCAAUGCAAAGGUCUAGGAAUAUUUUUGUAGUGUUAUCAUCCCAAUUGGCACGACCUGCAUCCAUCUGUGUGCUACUUUGAAUUAUAUGCCUUCCUAAGUACAAGGUGCUACUUUGAAUUAUAUGCCUUCCUAAGUACGAGGUUUGUAUGCCACACACGCAGUAGCAAUGACAACAUGCAAGAUACGAAUCAACAUUUAUCACAAAGGGAACAAAAAAGAUGGAACUGAUGCUUGCCUCAUUGUGCUUACGUCUUGCAGGAGUUGUACACAGCAGGAACCGAGGGGCUUCAUGUGGAGACCAUGACGAUGUAGAGGAGUUUGCCAGUGCUGCUGCCUGUGGAAGUUUCUUUUUUUGGCACACAAGGAAUGCUCUCCUUAGCUAGAGUCGUAUUUACUACUGUAAAAAGAAUAUAUAAAGUGAGAAAAAUUUAAAAGUCAGCCUAAACAUUGUCAUAUUUUAAUGCAGGAAGUAAAUAGUAAUGAGCAAAAAAAAAGAAGAAUAAUAUUUACUGUCAAAAGGGAGGAGAGAAUUUACAGUCACCUAAUUUUUGCAGGCACUUCCCAAUUCCCACCCACUGAAUGUUACUGAGUGGAUUUAGUGGUUUCUAUCACUAAAACUAGCCACUAACAAGAUGAAAGCAGCAGCAGUGCAGAUGCAAAAUAGCAAUGCCCGUGGUGGUGAUGGCCGCAUUUGUGGCACUCCAGAGUAGCAGCAGUGCAGGUGCACCGUCCAGUUCAGUCAGAUAGAUGAGCGUCAGUUGAUUUCCGAGGGCAAGGCAGAUCAAGCUGGCAAUGCAACAUGCAGGCAGAGGUAGCCAACAAUGCAGCCCUUUCAAUUAGAGGUACUGGUCAGUGCAGCUGACAAAAGCACACCAGUAGUAUGCAAGUUCAGAGGUGGUCACUUGAGUUUCAGAUUUGGAACACUUUUGCCUCUUUCUAAAAAUGAGCAGUAAGUAAAAUUGGUGCAAUGGAUUGUUUGCCUGGCGUCUUACUGCCUAUUCUAGCAUAAUUGACCUGAACGCCCCUAAGGUUGAGCAUAGCUCAUGUUUGUUCUGAAUACAGGGAGUCAAUAAGUCUUAUAUAUUUUGUGUUUGCUAAAUAAAAAUUAUAUUACAAUACUACCAAAUGCAUAUAAAUAGAAAGAUAAUAAAUUAACCAAAUGAUAGAUCGGUCUAGUCCGAAACAUCUGUUGGAAACACGCCGGAGUAACUCCGAAACGUCUGUUGGAAACAUGCCGGAGUAACGACUCCCAGGUCGCCGGCGAGUCUCCUGGCCAAAGCACAGGGACACACACGCACACACAGGUAGACACUGAAUUGGUGCUUGCUAACUUGGCCCUCUUCCUUGGCCUUUAUGCCUUGUAUUUAUAGACUAUUACAAGGAAAGUAAUCAGGGCUUCAAUCAGCCCGAUGCACACAGCCACACAAUUGCUAACUGUCUAUUUGCCAGGGCUGUCAUGGAACAUUACAUUUCUGUAGAUGAUCAACAACCAUUACCAUGAGUUACCAUUACAACAAUAUGCUCCUGUCGUCCAACAUACACAAGAUGCACUUACAGUACAGAGCAGAAUAAUGGGAAGCCUUCACACUUCACACUAGUGUAGCUAACAAAAUUGAAGGCACAUGAGAUCUUACUGCCUACUCUACCAAAAUUGACUCAAUUACGCACGAUAUAAGAGGUUACUGCCUAAUGUAAGGCAAAAGAGAUCUUACCCCCAGGUUCUCUGUUGAGAUGCACAAAAUCUAGCAGCAUACAAAUGUAGAUCGAGAAUGGAGAGGAUUGGCGGAGCUGGGUGGACCGGCGAUGGUGGGACGGAGCGGCGGGGCGGAGGUCGGCGGGGGCGUGGCUGGCCGGCGCCGGGUGAGGGGCGGAGCUGGAUCGGGCGCGGACGGUGGGGCGGAGAGGAGGGGCAGAGAGGAGGGGCCGCGACGGCGGGGCGGAGGCCGGCGGGGGCGGGGCUGGCCGGCGGCAGGGGAGGGGCGGAUGUAGGUGGGGCGUCGACGGCGGGGCGAAGAGGGGCGGCGACGAUGGGGCGGAGUCUGGCGGGGGUGGAGCUNNNNNNNNNNNNNNNNNNNNNNNNNNNNNNNNNNNNNNNNNNNNNNNNNNNNNNNNNNNNNNNNNNNNNNNNNNNNNNNNNNNNNNNNNNNNNNNNNNNNCGGCAGGAGGCCCGAAAUUCAAUCUUCCCAUCGGAAUCUGGGAAAUGUAAGGCCGCGGAAAUGGGCCAGAGUCUGGCGGGGGUGGAUCUGUUUUGCGGCGGGGGAGGAUUGGAGCUGGGUGGGGCUUCGAUGGUGGGGCCGUGCCGGCGGGGGCGGGGGCGGCCGGAGGCGGACUGGGCGGCGGGCGCUGUUCGGGAGAUGCAGGACCUGGACAGGGAUUAAGUGCAGCUGUUCGGCUGCCUUGCUGGGCUGUUGCUGUUGGGCCGCAGCCGAACGGCUAGGCUGCACAGCAACAGCUGCAGCCGCCCAAGUAGCUUAAGCGAACGGGCCCAAAAAAAGACACGGGAGACAAUAUUCACUAGUAGAGAAUUCACCUUCUAUACGUCCCAUUUUGUCCCGGUUUAAAGUUGGCCCGGGACAAAAGGUUCACCAACCGGGACUAAAGCUCGAUCACUGGUGGGGGGCUCACCAACCAGGACCUUUUAUCCCAGUUGGAAAGGCUAGUGGAAAAAAAAACCCUGAGAGGCCUUUUAUCCCGGUUUGAAACAUCAACCGGGAUAAAAGGGUCCCCACGAGUUAAUACAAAAAGAUUGCAUCCCCUAUAUAGUCAGAUGUGCUGUGUAGGUGGGAUGGCAAGGAAGCUACGCGCGAGGGUGGAGGUUGCGGGUUCGAAUCCCACGCAGUGCGCACGCGCAUAUUUUGCGUGAAAAAUCGCGUGACUUGUGACUUGCGACGUGUGGGGGGCCCUCCCGGGAUUUCUUUUUUCUUUUUUGCAGCGGGGAUAAAAGGGGACCCGGGACAAAAGACCCCCCCCCUGUCUCGGUUGGUUUAUCUCCGGAUGGAUUUUCGGAAGAUUUGCAUCCUAGCAACCGGGACUAAAGGCCAAUUCUCUACCGGUGAUUAUUGUUACCUUGGAGAGAAUUAAAUGAAAGUUCCAGCAAUGUUAACCUAGUCAGAUUAGCUAUUGAACUUGGUAUGCUUCCAUAAAAAUUGCAACCUUGAAGAACUAACCAUUCCAACUCACUAAGCUGGCCGAUUGCAUAAGGUAUCAACGACCCAAAAUUCUGAUGGCCUAUUGGGCAAGGUGUCGGAGACAGAGAAUUAUAACCAAGAAUACGCAUGGAUUUCAAAUUAGUGAGGUUACCAAUUGCAUCCGGUAUUGGUCCUGAGAACCCACAAUUAUUUAUAUACAUGUUUCUCAAAUUUGUGAGUCCGCCAAUUGCAGCCGGCAUAGGCCCUGAAAACCAACAAUCAAUUAUCCACAUGAUUUUCAAUUUUUUUAGUUUGCUGAUUGCGGUCGGCAUUGGCCCUGAAAACCCAGAAUCAAUUAUACCCAUUUUCCUCAAAUUUGUGAGGUUGCCGAUAGAAGAUGGCAUGGAACCAUAUGUUGUGCAGCGAUCCAUUUCCAGUGUUUGCAAGUCCACGAGAUUCCCAAUUGCACAAAAUACUUCCCUAGGGAGGUUACAAUCAACCAUUUCCAAGCUUCUCAAGUUCUUGAAGUUGCUAACCAAGGUAGGCGUUAUCUCAGAGAAGUUACAUCCAUAGAGUGCCAAAUUCAAACUCAUUAGGUUCUUUUGCUGUCCAAUCCAUGAGAUAAUUGAUCCUAACUCAUUGAGUCCAGCGUGAGGUCCAACUGGCACAGGGACCUAAGUCUACCAAAUGAAGAGAGAAAAUCCACCGAUAAAUUCCCUCCGAGACUCAAAUGCUUCAAGGACUUGAAAUUAUUAGAAGGCAUUGAUCUGGCAUAAGAAAAGUUGGUCCAGUCUAGCCUCAAAGUCUCUAAAGAAUUUGGAUAAGAAAAGUUUGGCAAAUGCCCUCCGGAUUAUUGGACAAAUCGACAACUCUUAAUUUUUUUUUAUUGGAAGGGUUUGAUGGGGAACCGCCCCUCAAGAUAAAUACUAGAAAGUUGAAGCACAGUUAAAUUGAUAAAAUCCAUGAAGAUUUCUGGAAAUGGACCGGCAGUUAUAUCACCAUUUCUUUGGAGGUUGAUCACAACGAGAGAACGGAACCGCGAGAGAGACUCAUGAAUAGGACCACUCAGGCUGCAAGUGGCCAAGCUGAGUAUCUGAUGUCGAGGAACAUGUGUAGCAAGAGAUGUGCACCACUCUUCUCCACUGGUAGACAAAUCCACACUGUCAAGAUAGAGCUCUCUUAGAUUACUGAGGUUUGCCACUAGGGCAUCAAAAUCGGGUCCCCACAGAGAGUUAGAAGUGACAAUAUAGUAGGAGCUGUCGGAUGUGUCAUAAGCAUCAUCAUCAUCAUCUUCAAAGGACUGGAAAGAUCCAACGACACAAGGUUCACGAGUUUACCGAUGCCAAUAGGUAUCUUGCCACACAAGCCCAAAUUGGAGAGGUUAAGGUGAGUUUGUUGGAAAAAUAACGUGGUGGUCAAAAGACCGAGAGGAAAAUGGGAAGGAUAAGAUUGACGCCCGACUCCGACUCCCUCGCGCACGUCCACCCCGCGCCUCGAUCGGAGGUGCAACCGAACAAUUGGUUGCGGCCCCGAGCGACCCGGCCCCGAGCGACCCAACUCUAUAAGAGAAGGGGGCCGGUGGGUUUGGAACAUGCCAACGCACCAAACCCUACUCACACCCCCUACAUGCCUCCCGAUCACAGUGGCGUUGGAGUUGCUCGAAGGCCGUCGCCACACCACCAUUGCCGUCUGUGGACAGAAGAGGUGGAGACCUGAAGGGAGACGCAAUCUACUCCGAGCUAGUACACCUAUGGCACCCGUCAUCCCGGCCUCGUCCACGACCCUAAUGGCCGGAUCGUCACAAGCAGUGGCAGCUGGUUGUACUCUAACAUCUUCAUUGAGUGGUGUUCAUGUUCUAGAUGUGCAAAGAUCCUGUUUUAGUUAAGAUUAAGUAAUGUAGAUUCUUACAUUUGGUAUCAGUUAGUCAAUCCCAUCUAGACUUGGAUCCUAAGGCUGUGUAGAUUGAAUCUUAGUGUGCAAUUGAGUUGAAUUGUACUGGUUUUCUAUGUUCUUGAUCUACACAGUAGCUUUCUAGUACGAAUUGCUAUGCUAUUAGGCUUAAUCUUCUUCAGCUACAUGUCAAUGUUCAAGUUUUAGUUCACUGACUUGAUCUGUUAAGUCAGAUUAGACCAAAUUAGUUCUCAGUUAGCCUAAUUCCAUGCCUAAGCUACUAGAUCAGUUCUUAAUUAAGUCUAAAAUCAAGGUUAAUUAAGUCAAUUAAGUUAGUCUCUAUGUUUAAGUUCAGUUAUUUAGGUCGAGGUCUACUGUUUUCCCCAAACCCCACUGUCUAGCUCCAAUCUGUGCAAUUAAGUCCUCAAUCAGUAAAAUUGGACACGCAAAAGCAUGUAGAAGGAGAGGAAUUGGGCGAAUUUCAGGUCGAAUUAAGGAAAACCCAAAGAAAAUCCCCAUCAGAAAUCCUAACCCUAACUCAAGGAUAAGAACUUACCUCGAAUCACGACGGCCGCAUAGGGCAUGAUGGCCGCUGCGUGUGGAUGCCGGCGUGCACCUCCGCUGAGCCACACCGGCCAUAAGCACGCACAUGAACAAGUCAAGCCGCGGGCCCGGAUGCGCCUCGGUCUCCUUCCCGUGACCCAACCCGCGGCAUCAGAUCCUCCACGCACGAACCUGUCGACGCCGCGGCAAGCUUCAGGUUAGCUCGCCAUCACCGGUCUUGCGGCCGACCGCGCCUUCUGCUCAGUCACCCCCUACCAUGGAAAAGUGCUCCAGUGGAGCCCCCUGACGGCGCGCCGCGCGACUUGGUCGCAUGCACGCGCCGGUGGGAGGGCCCGCAGAGGCAUGGGCGCAGGGUGGCGGCGCAGCUCAUCGGCGGCUGCUGCUCGGGGUUGGGGCAGAAGCAGGCAGAGAAGAGGGGAGGGUUGCAGUGGAGACAGGCAAAAAUGGCCUAGGGUUCGGGAGAGGCGCAGCGCUCGCCGGUUUUGUCCCACCGAAACUCGCGCUCCGCCGUCGGAUGCAACGGAUGGCUUAGAAGAGCGCGGACAAGCGCAGCGCGCUGUUGGGCCAGAUUGGCGGCCCACCCAUUGGCUGCUGGGCUUAGAGUCUAGGCCGGCGCGAGGAACCCGGCAUGGGCUGUUAGCUGGGCUUACUCGGACCAUGAGAAGGCGCGGGCCCACUUAAACUCUGUGUGGCACGUGCUCUUUAGGGCCAUGAGGAAGGAACGCCGUGCGCCAUCGUUCUUGCACGAUUGGGCUGCCUGCGAGCAGGGCUUGCGAAGGUCGUUAGCUAGGCGCGGACUGGUUGUUUUGCGCUGGGCCGAUUUCGGCCACUAGCGGGCUGCUGCUUUUUUGGCUCGCACGGGCCGUCAGAUCGCUGGCAGGCCAGCGGGCCAUUUUGCGCUUGCAUCAGUUGGGCCGUCAGUUGAUAAGUGCGCACUUGGGCUAUUUCGGGCCAAUAAGGGGAGGUAGCUACGGGCCAAAAGUUGAGUUUGCGCUGGUUUUAAGAUUGAGCACGGUCCACUGUUUCUCCCAUUUGUUAUGCUAAUAAGUGUCUAAGUUGCACAUAGUUAAAUAAAAUAAUAUUCUGAUUAAAUUGAACCAACACGAAAUUUAUUUCACAAUUAUUUAUUAAGGCAUGCAAUUAAUUUCUGACCAAUGUUGAUAUUAAUUUGAUAUGCAUAAGUGUUUUAUUUAAGUUUUAAGUUAUUUUGCUUCCGCCCAACAGUGAUGCGAAAUUAAUUCAUGUUAUUUUAUUUAAGUUUUAAGUAUUUUGCUUCUUCCCAACGGUGAUGCAAAAUUAUUUCAUAUCAUUUUAAUUAUGUCUUUGCUUCUACCGAAUGGUGAUGCAAAGUUGUUUAUGUUUUUAAUCGAGCCAACGCAGAUUAAAUUUAUUACUUAUUAUUGUUAUCAUUACUAAUUGAAAUUCUCUCAUUUACUCAGACUUGACUCCAUCAAGCAUCAUAAGCUAUGUCAACAGUACAGAGAAGCUUGGAGGAGACAACUUCACUAAUUGGAAGAACCAGAUUGGAUUGGUCCUAUGCAUUAUGGAUCGGGACCACUUCAUGAGGGAGAAUCAUCCUGUUGCUCCGACUGCUCAAGGGGAUAAUGAUAGUACCCUUCCUGAGCGCACUGCUGCCUAUGAGAAGGAAAAAGAGCGGUAGGAGCGAUCAAACAGGGUGGCCCUAAUGAUCAUGGAGCGGACCAUAAACCUUGCAAUAAGGGAAGCUAUUGAGAAAAAUCCCAAAAGUGUCAAACAUUUUAUGGAGAAGGUUGAGGAGUACUUCAAAAGCUUCAGUAAGGCUAAUGCUAGCACCCUCCUGACUAAGUUAAUGAACACUAAGUAUGAUGGGCAAGGCAAUGAAAGGGAGCACAUCAUGAGCCCCGUUGACCUAAGGGAUAUGCUCAACGACUUGAAUUGCCCUCUUAAUGAUGAGACACUGCUUCACCACAUCAUGCUUUCGCUGCCCUCAGUGUUUGAACCCUUUAAGAUAAACUAUAAUGGCAGCAACAUGAAGUGGGAUAUUCCCACACUCAUCAUGAAGUGUUCUCGGGAGGAAGAAAGGCUCAGAUCAGAGAAAGGCAAUUUUGCCAACCUCAUCAGGCAUGAGGUAAAUAAGGGAAAAAAAUAAGCAAAUUGUCCCUUUUAAGAAAAUUAAGAAGCCUCAUCAACCUUCUCGUAAGAAUGAUGGGUCAUCCUCGUCUAAGGGUCCAAAAUGCCAUCAAUGCGUGGCCUAUGGGCACAUCAAGAAGCACUGUGAAAAGUUAAAGGAAUGGUGCAUAAAAAAUGGUAAUGAUGACUUUAUUUCUACAGUCGAUGAGUCCCUUUAUGUUGAUUUUUCAUUAAGUACAUGGUGGAUUGAUUCUAGGGCAACCAUUCAUAUUACUGAUUCCUCACGGGGAUUACAUGGCGCACAGACUAUAAGAAAGGGGACUCGCGCCGUUAAAGUUGCCAAUGGAGUUGAAGCUGAAGUUGAGGCUGUUGGAGAUCUCACUUUAGAACUUAGUAGUAUCUUUAGGCUUCAUUUAAGUAAUGUUCUUUAUGUACCAUCACUUAAGAGAAACUUGAUUUCUAUUUCAUCAUUAGAUUGUGAAGGUUAUUCCUGCAACUUUGGGAACAACAAGUAUGUAAUAAGUUUUGACAAUAAGAUUAUUGGUCAUGCCCCUUUACAUGAUAAGCUUUACUUGUUGCCUCUAAGUAUUAAUUCCUCUGUGACGAAUGUAAGCGAUGCCAACCAUAAGCGAAAGAGAAACAUUGAGACUUCGUCAAAAUUGUGGCACUUCCGCUUAGGCCACAUCACAUUUCGAAGGGGAGAAUGGAGCGUCUCAUUAGAGAAGAGAUACUUCCAAAAUUAGAUUUCUCUGACUUAGAUCAAUGCGUUGACUGUAUUAAGGGAAAAUUUGCAAAACAAAUUAAAAAGGAUGGAGCUAAGCAGAGUUCAGGAUUAUUAGAAAUAAUUCAUACUGAUAUAUGUGGUCCAUUUAAUGUAAGAUCAGUGGAUGGUUAUAAUUAUUUAAUUACCUUCACUGAUAAUUUCUCCCGCUAUGAAUACAUCUAUCCCAUACUCGAAAAGUCUGAAGCACUUGAUAAGUUUAAAAUCUUUAAAGCUGAAGUAGAAAAUCAGCAUGACUAAAAGAUCAAAGUGGUAAGAUCAGAUAGGGAAGGGGAGUAUUAUGGGAAACACUCCACAUAUGGACAAAUUUUGGGACCCUUUGUCAGAUUUCUCCGAGGUAAUGGUAUAGCAGCUCAGUAUUCCAUUCCUGGUGAGCCUCAGCAAAAUGGUGUUGCUGAGAGAAGAAAUCGCACCGUUAUGAACAUGGUGCAUAUUAUGCUAUGUAACUCUACGCUGCCAGUGAGUUUGUGCAUGCAAGCUUUAAAGACUGCCGCACACAUUAAUAAUUGUGUUCCUAGUAAGUCAGUCCCUAAGACUCCUUAUGAGCUUUGGACUAGUAGGAAGCCUAUAUGAAUUAUUUACAUGUAUGGGGCUGCGCAGCUGAAGUAAAGAUUUUUAAUCCACAACUUGGGAAAUUAGAUCCAAGACUGAAAGCUGUUAUUUUAUUAGAUAUCCAGAAAAGUCAAAGGGGUACCUCUUUUAUUGUCCUAAGCAUACCACUAAGUUUGUGGAGACAAGGCAUGUUGUUUUCUUAGAGGAAACUGGAUGCACUGAGGCUAGGAAAAUUGAUCUUGAGGAGAUUCGAACUUAUGAGCCGUUACCCAUAAGAUAGGAUUAUCAUACUCCUAUGCCAUAUACCACAGUUACAUCUCAGGUGGUGGAACUUCUAGUAGAAAAUGUGGGAGUAACAUCUACCUUAAGUGAUAAUGUAGAUGCACCUUUGAUAAGUGAGCAUCAAGGUGAGGAUGUGGUAGAACCUGCUGGUGGAUUGCAAGGGGAGGCAACUGAUGAGCCCGAGGUGAUUCAGCAGGAACCUGCUCAAGUAGAAGCACCACAGGAAGUAACACCACAACAUCUGAGAAGGUCAACAUGUGAGAGGAAGUACACCCGUUUCGAUGAGUAUGUGUACAUAAGUGAAGAAGGGCACAACAUGGGGAAGGUGGAUGGUCCAAACUCAUUUAAGGAGGCUAUAAUUAGUGAACACUUGCAUAAGUGGAGCGAGGACAUGGAAGAAGAGUUGAAGUCCAUGGAAGCAAAUAGAGUAUGGGACUUAGUAGAAAUUCCUGAAGGAGCCAAAACAAUAGGCUGUAAAUGGGUCUACAAAAUGAAAUAUGACUCUAAAGGGAAGAUCAAAAGGUUCAAAGCAAGACUCGUGGCUAAGGGCUUCACUCAAGUAGAAGGAGUCGAUUAUAAUAAAACCUUAUCGGCUAUCUCAAAGAAAGAUUCAUUUAGAAUCGUUAUGUCUUUAGUAGCUCAUUAUGAUCUUGAGCUACAUCAAAUCGAUGUUAAGAGUGCGUUCCCUAAUGGUGACUUGCAUGAGAAUGUAUACAUGAAGCAACCUGAAGGUUUUGUCGUGGAAGGCAAGGAAUAUUUGGGAUGCAAACUAUGAAAAUCCAUUUAUGGAUUGAAACAAGCAUGCAAAAAAUGGUACCUUAAGUUUGAUGAAGUAAUUAAGAGAAUUGGCUUCAUUGAAAAUAAGAAAGACAACUGCAUAUAUGUUAAGACUAAGGGGAGCUCUAUAAUCAUCCUAGUGCUUUAUGUGGAUGACAUCCUAUUAGCAAGCAGCGAUAAGAACUUGCUGCAUGAGACAAAGGGCUUUCUCUCAUUGAACUUUGAUAUGAAGCACCUUGGUGAUGCCGCUUAUGUCUUAGGCAUUGAGAUUCACUGAGAUAGGUCCAAGGGUGUAUUAGGACUCUCUCAAAGAGCUUACAUAGAGAAGGUCCUUGAAAGAUAUAAUAUGCACCAAUGUUUAGGCACAACUGCUCCAAUUGUCAAGGGCGAUAAGUUUGGGUCAUUCCGAAGUCCUAGGAAUCAAUUAGAAAUUGAUCAAACAAGAACGAUUCCUUAUGGUUCAGAUGUCGGAAAUAUAAUGUAUGCACAAGUGUGUACACGCCCUAACUUGGCCUUUAUAAGCAGGAUGCUUUGAAGCUAUCAGUCUAAUCCAGGAAUAGGCCAUUGGGAAGGAGUUAAGAAAGCUUUGCGUUACAUGCAAGCACUAAGAAUUACAUGCUAACGUAUAGGAGAACUGAGAAAUUAGAGAUAAUCAGCUAUUUCAGAUACUGAUUUUGAGGGUUGUGUUGGCACAAAGAGAUCCACAUCAGGUUAUGUCUUCACACUUGCAAAUGGCGUUAUAUCGUGGAAAAGCUCCAAACAAACAUUAACAGCUGCAUCGAUGAUGCAAGCUGAGUUUGUGGCAUGUUAUGAAGCUAUGGGACAAGCUGUAUGGCUUAAGAGUUUCAUCCUAGAAUUAAGAGUGGUAGACAGCAUAAGUAGGCCACUAAAAUUAUACUGCAAUAAUAAGUCAGUAGUUUUCUAUUCGAAUAACAACAAGUCAAGUGAUGCUGCAAAGCACAUUGAGAUUAAGUAUCUUGAUGUGAAAGAUAGAAUCCAAGAUCACACCAUUGAGUUAGAGCAUAUAAGUACUAAGAAGAUGCUUGUGGAUCCAUUAACAAAAGGCUUAUCUCCCAUUAUAUUCAGUGAACAUGUUGCCAGCAUGGGAUUAUCGGAUAGCUUGUGAUCUUGGAGGGUCAUAAGACAACUGCCUCCCAUCAUGAUAGGUAGUUUUAUACAUUGUGGACAACUGUGUCAUAGUGGGAUUUUAAUCAUCAUUGUCACACAUUAUCUCCCUGCAUAAUGCUGCUUUAAGAAUGGCAUAAAUUAUAGGCCUUUAGACCAAAGGGGAGAACGUUGGAAAAAUAACGUGGUGGUCAAAAGGCUGAGACGAAAACGGGAAGGAUAAGAUUGACGCCUCCCGAUCACGGUGGCAUUGGAGUUGGCCAAAGGCCGUCGCCGCACCACCAUCACUAUCCAUGGACAGACGAGGUGGAGACCUAAAGGGAGAUGCGAUCUACUCCGAGCUAGUACACCUACAACAUCUGUCAUCCCGGCCUCGUCCACAACCCUAAUGGCCGGAUCUUCACAAGCCGUGGCAGCUGGUUGUACUCUAACAUCUUCAUUGAGUGGUGUUCACAUUCUAGAUGUGCAAAGAUCCUGUUUUAGUUAAGAUUAAGUAAUGUAGAUUCCUACAGAGUUAACGAAGCCAACCUCUCGAUUCCAGUAGUAGGGAUGUUUUCUUAUGGCAUAUCUUGUGCCCCACUAACAUCACUCAUGCUAAGGUCAAGGCUAUUAGGCAAUGUAUAGCCGUAUAUAGCUGAUUUAUAGCUUUCCAUGUAUACUGAUUGUAUUCCUUGUAUACCAAACCAUAUUGGCUAUAUAAUAGAGGUCACCCCCCUCAUUAGGGUUCGUGGUGUUUUCCCAAACUCUAUCUAUCUACAUGGUAUCACAAGACCAGGAUCAAUCUGACAGGGACUUUCCUUCCGCUCCACCUCUCCCUGACGCGCCUAACCCUAGGUGCAGCUCCUGUGCGGUGGCGCUUCUCCCCUAGGCUGGCGCCCCUCCCCACCUCCCUUCCUCCCAUGGCCAAUGAUUCCUCUAUCGAGUCCUCCCUGUCCGGUGGUGGCCUUCUGUCCACUGGUGGCCCCAGGCCGGUGCCUGGCGAUGGCUCCCUGCCCAUCUCCGGUGACACCCCCCCCACUGGACUUGAACCACUGGGCGGCUAUGGCACCCUCCUUGGCACCGACGAUGGCCCUGCGUUGCCCCUUGGUGGCGGUCUUCUCCUCCACCAGGCGCCGUCGGCCAUCAUCCACCUGUGGCGGAACCGCCCAGAUUUACUUAGCUAAAGCACCAUUAAGUCACCUGACAUGCGAUCUUAUGCUUUAACCAAGAUAACUCGGCAGUCCGUUUAAUUUCGUCCGAUAAACCACUACACAGGACCGAGAAGCAGAGCUCACACGAAGGUGAGUGGUUCCAGAGAUUUCAAUAGAUCACCCAACUUAAACAAGUACCUUAAUUUUACAAACUCGGGUUCGAAAUUCCACAAAGUUUUACGGAGUUCUCAAGCAGCGGGAAAAUAUAAACCAACGGAAGCUAGCGUCAGGGGUCGGAUGUCACGAUGAGGCCGACCAUGACAUCAAUGGUCCCUAUCCUCACCGUCCGAGAAGGGAUCCCACUCGAUCGUCCACUCAGGAGGAAGCUGGGGAGGCCAAGUGCCAACAGCAGCAAACUCAGGAGCUUCAACAUCACCUGAAAAGAUUGUCACAACAAGGCUGAGCGACUACGCUCAACAAGACUUAACCGACCGUUGGGAACUACUCCACCAACUUCUAGACAUGCACGGCUCUUUGGCUGAGGGGUUGGUUUUGCCAACGCGACUAUAGUAGGUCCUUACUUUCAAGAUUUUAGACACAGGUUCUACUGUUGUUUAUCAUUCUAAGUUAGUAGCUAUACUAAUCAGGCAAAAGUUUCCAAGCAAUUUAUGACAAGCAUACAGGUUAACAUCACCAUCAAGUUCCAUUCUUACUUAGUGUAGCAUAGUGAUCAAGCAGUCCCAAACUGUGAGAGGCAGACGAAUUGAUUCGAAUAUCUUAACCAUGCAUGGUGAACCUAAUCUCACGAUAUCCGCACACCACAAAGGGUCGCUUCCUCUGUCGGUCGCACCCAUCAAUCCCUUGACCCGUGUCGAGCCCACUUCUCUUGGUACAAGGCUCCACAGACCCGGCCUCUGCCGUUCUGUGACCGCACUUGUCACCACAUGCGGCCGGAAGGGAAACUCUAUUCCAGAGACAGUGGAUCGAACCGCUCAUGUCCUGGUUCAAUCAGGUACUAGGCUUCCCCAUCCCAUACUAGAUAUGAGAUUAGUACUUUCAAACACUUGAUCGCGAACACCAUCACCUUUCGACCUUAAACCAAUUUCAUGUAGACAGACGGGGCAAUCCACCAACCACCAAAAUAGUUCACAGAGCCCUGCCCCCUCCAUCGUCCUUAUAGUUGUAACAAAAAGGAGAGCAAGCAACUCCUAUAACUCGCGAGUGACAGGGAAUCACUCGACUUUUACCGAGUCAUGUUAAGCAUUGCAACUACUCGGCCUAUCAUACUAGUGUUCAUAUCAAAGGGAACUAAGUCAUGCAUCUAUGGUUUCAAACAACUCCUGAAACGUAAAUGCACUUACAUACAACAGAAGGCAUGCGCAAGUUUAGAAAGACUGGGUGAUGCUCGGGGGCUUGCCUUCAAGUGGGGCGGAAGCAAACUAAUCUUCAACACUCUCGGGCUCAGCUCCUGCAGGCAGCUUAGCUACAACUUCAUCUUCGGGCACCGGGUGCAGCUCGUACGUGCCGUCGGCGAGGUUCAGCUCUACACGGAAUGCAAUGCAAGGGUGAGACACAGACGGUGAUUUCAACAACACUUGCAAAGAUUUAGCCCAAAAACUGUAGCAAAACUACAGGAAAAGUGUGAAACCCACGUCAUUGGAUUUUACUCAGAAAGAGGAUUCCAACCCAAGUGAUCUCACAUUUUUCUGAUUGUUCCCCGAUUUAAGAUGGAAUUUCCAAGCCUCUGCCGAUUUAGAACAAGAUAAAAGAGUCGGGUCAGGAAAAACUUGCAAUCUGACCCUUAGACCUAAGGAAUAACUGUACCGGGAUCCUUAGAUUUAACACAGAGAAGUCCUCAAAAUUUUACACAGAUGCCCUUGGUCAAAAGAAAAAGACAUAGCCGAGCCCUCGGGCGAGGCAGACAGGGGUCGGGCGAGACGGACAGGGGUUGGCAGCUCACCUUUGGUCCUACUGAUGAAGUCUUAGGGUUGGCAAGAAGCAAGCUCAGGCGGAACGACAAAAGGCGUUAAGUUUCGGGCGGCGGCGACGUCUGGCGGUGCUCCGGCAGUGGUGGUGCUUCUUGCGGACAACAAGCAAGUUUUAGCGCUGCACGAAGGAAAGCGAAGCGGUUGGCGGGGUCGGCAAGGCAGGGUGUUGGACGGAAGGGGGAGCUCCACAGAGAGCUCAGGCGGCGGUGCGUGAGCACGAAACAGAGGAGUGUGUGGUGGAGAGUGCGCUAGAGGAGAAACCAAGCAAGCAGUGCGGCAAGGGCAAUGGUGGCGAAGAGAACUCCCGUAAGAGGCUCUGGUACCCAUUUUAUAGCUGUGCGGAAGUGAACGAGAUCGAGCAGUGUGAGGAUAAGAUCGAGGGAGAAGAGGAGUGCUCUACCGUGGCGGCGAUUGGUCGGUGUCUCCAUUGGCCGGAGAAGCGGAGCUCCAGGGAUAGGAUCCUAUGGCAUUGGGCAAGGAAGACAGUGCUAGGCAAGCGCGGUUUUGCUGAGCAGAAGGAUUGGUGAGGUCGAGCGCGUGCUUGGUCGCGUGAAGCGCCGGAUUGGGUGCGGCGACUCGGUAUUGGCGGACAGGAGAGAGCGAGGUGCACUUCAGGCAAGGGCGCCGUAGGCGAGGUGACAGGGCGAGCGAUGCGAUGCGAGCAUGCGUGGAUUAGCGACUCUGCCGGGGCACACUACUGGCGAGGCGGGGGAAAGGAGUUGUCACUGCCUGCGCGGCGAUUGGCGAAGACGGCAGCGUCGCGGGGCGCACGUGGGCAGCGCGAUUGAGGUUGACGGGAGGGCCGGAAGGUGUUGGGGCGCGCGGCUGGGGGUCCAGGUGAGGCGAUGCGCACGGGAGGCGAGGCGGUACUGGCGCGGCAGCGGCCAAUCUUUGGUCACAGCGGCGGGUAGUGUGCCUGGCGCGACUGGCGAGGUCUCAGGCGAGACGAGACGGGGCGGAGAGGUCUGCAGGGUGCUUCUGCGCGCGAUUGGGAAGGAGGUGCUGAUCCAUCUUGUCGCGGCCGGCGACUGGGUGAGGCGGCGCUUGCCGGUGAGGUCACGCCAUGCGGCGGCAGUGCUCCGAAACAGGGCGCACGCGCGCUCUGGCGCUCUUUGUCCGAUGGAUCCGCGGGAUUCCUUGCCGGGCCCAUCUUCCAGCCUCUUGAUCUUCCGAUUUCCAAACUGCACCACAUUGACUCCCUUCACAAGGGUUGUAGAACACAGGCUAAGGUCCAACUUUUGUAAUUGGACUGAGUUAAAAAACGCGGUGGAUUUGGAGAUCCAAAGCUCCAAAGUUUGGAGGAACAUUGGUUUCAGGACUUAGAGAAAAGCGGCGGUUUGGCUGGUUUUCAAGGGUCAGGACUGAUUUGAGCUGCAGAUUUGGGAAUCUUCUGAGGCGAAUUGGACCAAUGUCCAAUUAACAAAGUUGUGGUAGGAACUUUGUUCUCCAACUUCUAUAAAGGGUUUUCUUGAUGUUCAGUUCAACUUUCCAAAGAUAAACCUUCCUUAAGGCGCUAGGUCAGGCUGAUUUUCCAGACUUAGCCAGAAUGGCUGAAGGAAGUCUGAGUUGACCAGACUAGGGGGCUUGUCUUAAGAUUAAACUCGGCUGAUUUAAAUCUAGGUCGUUACACCACCCCUACGCCACGAUCUCCGUCAAGGCUCACAUCCCCAUGAUGUUGACGAUGAAGACCUCCAGCUACUCCAAGUGGGUUUCCUUCUUCAAAUCCAUGUGUGGCAAGUUCGGCCUCAAGUCGCACAUCGACAGCACCGUGACGCCCCGUCCUGAUGACCCCGAUUGGGAUCAAGCGGAUUGCUGCGUCCUCUUCUGGAUCUUUGGCUCUAUCGUGGACCUCGCCAUGGAGGAUGAUGAGCAGACCGCCAGGGCCCUCUGGCUCACCAUUUAAGGCCUCUUCCAUGCCAACAAGCAAUCCCGGGCGAUCUUCCUCAGCUACGACUUCCACUCCAUGACCCAGGAGGACUCCUCCAUCUCGUAGUACUGCCAGCGCAUGAAGAACCUCGCUGACACCCUCCGUGACAUUGGGCAUCCCAUUCAAAACUCCCAGUUGGUCCUGAAUCUUCUCCACGGCCUCAACCCGCACUACUCCAACACCACCGACGACAUCGGCAACUCCCCCGCCGGCUUCCAGUCCUUUGCCCAGGCUCGUGACAUGCUCACCUUGAAGGAGCUUCGCCUCGUCAACUUGCUGCUCUACGUCGAUGACAUCAUCCUCACCGCCUCAUGUUCGACGCUCCUCCACCACAUCAUGGCUAGUUUUCAGUCCGAGUUCGCCAUGACGGAUCUUGGUGAUCUUCAUCACUUUCUUGGCAUCUCCGUGACGCGCUCCCCUGAUGGCUUGUUCCUGUCCUAAUGACAGUACACCCUGGACCUCCUCCAGCAUGCCAGCAUGGCUGAGUGUCACUCUACGACGAGUCCUGCUGACACUCAUGCCAAGCUCUCGGCGACCGACGGCAACAAGCUCAAGGAUGGCUCUAAGAAACCGCUGGAAGUUAAAUUCAACAAAAGUUCAAUUCGAGAAAAGUUCAAUUCAAGAAAAGUUAAAUUGUAUCACCUCCCCAGGACUUUGUUCUUUUGUUUUUGGUUCCCAAAGCACAAUUUCAUUAUCAGCACUCUGCAAAUCCAAGCUAGCAUAGAUCAGAUUCCUCAUUAUACAGGAACCAAAACUGGCACUGGGAAAAAAAAGGUUGAAAGACUGAACCCAUGCACAGUACAAGAAUACAGGAUCCAGAUACAGUGGUAUUUUGAAGCAUCAAAAGAAUGACGACUGUACUACUACUAUAGCAGCAAUUUGUAUCCAUUUAAGGGAAGGAAUUUCACCUCUGACAGGAUGAAGUCACCAAGCCAUCUUGUACAAUCAACAUAGUUAGAGUGUACUGCAGCAAUCAACACCUGCAAGGAAAGAAACAGGUUGGUUUGAUGGCAUGAGGAUUAAACACCAACAGUAGUUUGCAAAGGAAUAGAUCUAAGAUGAUUAUAGAUGCUAAACAUACCGGAAACUGGACAUAUUUUGUUGGAAACUUUGAUGGAAGGUCAGUCCAGGAAUAUGAUUUGUCAACAUAUUGCCAAAAUUCUGUGACAACAUUGGGAAACUCUAUCAAUGAUAUGCAGCAUGCAAAUGUAAACAUGAUGCUACUUUGAAGUAGUUUUCCAACCUUUCAUUGACCAGAUUUUCACAGUGUUGUCCAUGCCACAACUUGCAAAACGCUCAAUAUCACUAGGGUGGAAGUCCUUCAGCCAAAAUAAUGUAUUUUGGUCAGUACAUUUAUGCCUAACGUAAUGGAAGUACAAAAGCCGUAGUAGUCACCAGGACUAUAUUUAUCCCUGAUGUAAUGCUCAAUAACAAAUAGUAACAUCAGAAGCUGAAAGAGUGGUAGCUUCAGGGCACUUUGAGCAAGUAAUAUUCUGAAACAAUACCAUAAGAGGAGGCAGGAGCUACUUACAACACUCAACACUUCAUUGCGAUGACCUCAAGCUCCAGCAAAUACCAAGAUGCAGAUCCCUGUAUGGACAUUCCAUAGCCUAACAGAUUCAUCCUAUUCAAUAAUGAAUAAUGCCAUAUGAAACAGUGUCAGAACAAUUAUAACAAAGUACAUUCAGCCUAAGAACAGGUUAUCUGCUAACCUUGCUUGCAGAAAUGAUGAGCGAAGGCUUCAACGCUUGAGUCCUUAUCUCAUUUAUUGAGUCACCAUGGCCAGCAAAGCUCUGUAGAAUUCCAUAAACAGAAAUAACAAAUAAACACGUGCACAGUCUAAUUCAUAGGAUAGGAUAGUAUUUAUUGGCAUGCCCUGUCUCGUGACUAUAUGUAUAACGCCAAAAUAGAUACACUAGGUUGAACGUGUCUUGACUAUAACGGACAUGCUGAAGUAUCCAAAAACCAGAAUCUUCUGUGAGCAAAAGUUACAGUUUGCUAGUGGUAUUAAUGCAUAGCAAACAGACAAUUCCUUAAUCAAACCAAAUUCAAAUGACCUUCUGGAUCGGAUAUCAUAGAUGGUAUCUGUCAGGUAAGCAACUGAUGUACAGAUUUGUGCAAAUGAAGCUUCAUUCAAGUUUGACGUAGUAACAAAGACAAGGCUAGGGGUACUAUACCUUAGCUAACUUCUCCGUAGCACAGUUGAUGACCCGAAUGAUCCCAUUGCCUCCUGCUGCUCAAUGACUCCAUUCUUGGUGACCAGUGUGGCAUCCAAUGUAUCAAUCAGCUCUUCCUUCUUCUUGAGCAAGGCGUUCUUCUCCUCUAUCACCCUGUCCCUAGCCUUCAGUGCCUCCUCCAUCCGAACAACUCUCACCUCCAGCGUGACAAUCCUCAGCGAGUCCCUCUUGUCGUAGGUGUCCGGUGCAGUGUCCACCUCGUGCUACAGGCGACGGUUCAUCCGGUCCAGGUCAGUCAAAUAGUGCUCAAGUCCCAUUAUCUUGCCCUCAAGUAUGGCGUUGGUACCGAUGCAGUUGUCCCAACCAUUGUGAAGUACCUCCACCUCUCUGUCAUUCCAGAACAGCGCCAAGUCCUGAGCGUGAAUACAGCGGGAGGCCACGCAAAACUUCUCGUUGGGCUCUGCAUAUGCGUCCUCGUAGUACUGAUGGACUAAACUCUCGAAAUCCCUCAGCCCACGGCAAGCCCUGGUUAGGCAACGGUAGGGAGUCUGAGCCAACCUGUCACGGAGCUGCGCAUGCACCUCACACACAGCCCUUCUGGCGGCAGUCCGGUGAGCCGUUGACACUGACAGCUCAAACCCAAGUAGAAGAAUAAGCAAAGUCUAGUCAGAAAUAGCGGUAGUCAACAGAACUGUCCAUAACCAGUGGACACGGAUUAUAGCUACAGCUUUAUACACUCUGCAGAGGAUGUACAACUAUACCCACACGGAUGGAGUCUAAACGGUGGCGAUCCGUCGAAACCCCACCUAACAGCCGGAGCCCUAGUAGGUGGAUAGCUCUGUCAUAUUUCCUCGAGUCUGGAAUCAUCCUUAGCUGCAGGGCACGCCGUCACCAGUGAGCACCUCGAAGCUAUGAAACCUACCCAUGCCGGGGUGUAGUCUGGUCAAAGCAAGCCAACGCCUUGAACUCAUUACAUGAUCCUCCAAUCUGCCUAGAGGCUGAGCACUAUCCACCACUAGUCUCGAACCGAACUCUGCCCAUAACGUAAGCGAGCGGUAUCUACGUAAAAUAGUUGCUGUGACUAGUGGUAAACUGACUCAGUGCUUAAGCGGCUGAGAGCGAGCACUCUACUCCACAAGUAUGUGCCGAAACACAUGCAACAUAUAAGUACGCUACCUGCUCCUCAGUAACAAACAAGGUACCCACCACAGGUACGGGGUAUAGAGAGAGUCCAGAAUGCUCUCUCCUAGCAAGGCACUCCUUAGUACCAACCAUGGCGCUCCCGCCAAAACAUAUCAAGGAGUCACACUCACCCAAAACUCAAGCGAGAGUGUUCAAUGAAUCCUAUCACCGAAACUGUGGCAUAUGCCCAUCCAUAACUCAAAAGCAUGUAUAUGGAUAUAUGAGCGGUGGACUAGCUAGGGGUCUGUAGCUAGUCCACAAAAGUAGGUAACAAGGAAAACAGAAUACAAAAUUAUCAAGGCAUGGCUAAAAAUAUUGGCUAUGCAAUCCAACAUCAUCAAGCAUCAUAAAUAAAGCACCAGCAACUAAGCAUGCAUAUGAUCUAUGUGAUUGGGAGUGGCAUGACACCUUGUCCGUAGUUGUUUGGAUCUUCCUCGGCAUAGUCGGAGUCUUGAGGGUCUUCUGGGUCGUAGCUCGAGUCUGAACAGACCAAGAUAUGACAUAAAGUAAAUUAAAUGGCAUUACAACUAGGAAGAAACUCCAAGAAAGCCAAAUUUAGUAGAUCCAAAUAACACCAAACUAGUUACAAACAACACGGGCUCCAUUUUACGAAUUUAAUGCAACUGGUUCCAUAUUUUUCGCAGUUAAAAUGAAUUAGUUAUGAAUUUUUUAAGAUUAAAGGAUUCAUUUAAUUAUUUAAAUAAUUUUAGAAAAUAUUUAUUAUUACAGUGACAUGUGCCAGCGCUUGGUUGUGCCAUGUGGGAGCAUAAGAGUGCGCCACGUGUCUCCUAACGCCAAGCUAACGUCAGCGUUGACCGGUCAACAGGGCCCCACCAGUGGGCCCGAGCCUCGGACAUGUCAACGCCUCGUGGCUCCACGUGGCAGCCACGUGGCACUGCCACAUGGCGCACACGUGGUCGUCCCCAGCUGGCCGGGAUCCGCGCGCCACCCGCGUGUGGCCAUGGGUGUGGUGCAGGCCUGAUUGGCUGCGACACAGCGGUGACUGUGCCCACGACGUCAUGGUGUGGCGCGACGUCACGGCGCGGCUGCUGCACGUGUGCGCGGGCAGGAGGUAGUCCCGGCCGCGGCACGACCGCGGCGGCGUGCGGGGUCCCGGGCCCGCGGUGGCUGGCAGCGAGGCGAGCGGCGGCACUACAACCGUGGCUCGAAGGCUGGGCAUACGACAAGCAAACAAGAGGAAAGAGAGGGGCAACGAGGUUCACUGCAGGGAGACGGUGAAAUUGGGCGGCGUCGGGCGGUGGUCGACAGCUCAGGCUCCUCCCUCAGACGGCCCCUCUUCUUCUUCUUCUCUUCUACUUCCCCUCCUUCUCUUUCCUCCUCAUCUCCUACUCCUCCCUCCUCCUCUACUCCUUCCCCCUUCUCUCACUCGGGUGGUCGAUGGCGCAAGGGCGAAGCCCCGAGUGGAUGGCGAAGAGAGGCCCCGAGCGGCUCUACUUAUAGCGGAGAGGCGGCUGUGUUCCAGAGGGAGGUUGCGGCAGCACUUUAGGGUUUGGGGGCGUGGCGUCGGUGAUGUGGAUGGCUAGGAUGUGGUGUUGCAUGGUGCGGGUGACGUGGCGGCCAUCCGAGGCUCCCAGCACAAAAGCAAGGGUGCGGGCGAGGUCAUGGGUGCGCACGCGAGGCGCGCGUGAGCGGUACGGCCGGAGGAAGAAGGAAGAGGAACAGGGGCACCUCACAGGUGGGUCCGGUGCAGCAGCAAGAGAGAAAGAGAGGGAGAGCGGGGCGCGGGUGGCGACUGCGGGCUGGGCCAGCUGGCCGGUUAUGAGGCCUGCUGGGCUGGUCACUGAGCUGCGCGGGCGAGGCAGCUGAGCGGCGCGGGCGAGGUGGCUGAGCAGGCCAGGCCGGCUGUCUGGCUAGGCCGGGGUGAAGGUAGGUGAGGGUGAGGCGCGAGCGGGCCAGGCCGGUGGGCUGCGGCUAGCCUGGUUGGUUAGGAGGGUUAGAUAGGUUUUGUUUUUAUUUAGAUUUAGAUUUAGUUGGAGUGUUGAAUCAAAUUCAAAAUUCAAACACACACUCAAACAUGAGAUCCAAAUAAAAUCUAAAAAGAUCCAAAUCAUUCCACACAAGUUUUGAAAUGGAAUUUUGGGACGAGAAGAGAAUUUGACUACCAUUUUCAAACAAGCACACAAUUCAAACAAAAGUUUUAAAUUUUUGGAAAUUUUACUUAAAUAAAUAUUACAAAAUUCUGGAAUAUUACAAACAUAACCACUUCACCUCGUACCCCGAGAAAAGCGAUACGAAGCUUAACACUCCUCGACAUCUGGGAAAUUUGGUCAGAACGAAACUCUAGAUUUUUCGGACUGUGUGAGUCAUCCUUGAUUUCCUUGGUGGCAAAAAUUAAAAAGGAAGCUUAAGUUUUGUAGGUCUUUUGGAUUAAACCAACUUGGUAAGCUAUCACCCCAAAAGCCAUGGACAUUCAAUUCUCUCAUGAGGGCACAAGCCAUCGAUCACUUCAUUCUCACGUGGUGUCGGCUCGAAAACUCUGGGAUUAGUUCGCCAGUUCAGCUCUAUUUCCUUGAGGUAUUUCUUGUCAACGAGUCUAGCCUCAGCAGCCUGUUCCUUGCUCCUCACAGUAUGAAUAGAAUUAAUGCAUAGCAUUCCGCUAAGCUGAUUCAUGCCCUUCAGCUCACCAAUUGCCCCCCUCCGUGCUUCGACUGUGAAAUAUCUCAAGUUCCUUUAAUAAGUCAAUAGAGGCUUUUACUGGAAGUGCUAGUUGACGCAAGUUGAUUAGCUUUGUUACAUCCUGACGAAUUGUUCUCAGACAUGAACCAAAUGCAACAACAACUUGUAGGCUGUUAAGGCACCAGAAUUUCGAUGGCACUUCAUUUAUAUUGCUGUAGGAUAUAUCAAGAUAUCGGAGGCUAUUCAACCCACAUAUGCUUUGGGGUAGACUUUUCAGCUUGCAACCUUUUAGGCUCAAAAACAGGAUGUUAGAAAGCUGACUGAACCAGGUGAUCUCAACAUCCAAUUCGGUACCAAACCUAAGUGAACGCAGUUUGUUCAAAUUUUGAAUGUUUGUCAUUGUGCCCAAGGACUUACGUACCAUCCACCUCGAUUGACAUGUGGCGAGGUUUAUUUGUCAUUCCGCUCAAAUCUUUCAUCGAGAAACAUUCAUGGAUAGAAACAUACUGCGCAGUAUCAUGGAUCAGGUCAUGCAUUACGUAUUUAUCUUGAUUAGGGAACUUUGGAUCAGUUUGGAAAAGACACCUGCCUCUCAAAUCAUCCAAAUACUUCAUCCCGACAUCUUCAAGACGCUUGCUCACUUGUGGUGAAACAAAGCCCUCUGCCACCCAAAUGUCAACGAUCUCAUGUCUUUUGAAGCUAUAAUCUUUCGGAAAUAUGGAGCAAAAUGCAAAGCAUCUCCUAAGUUCAGUUGGGAGGUACAAGUAGCUCAGUCGAAGUGCUGGUAAUAUGUCGCUAUGUUUUUGUUCUUGCUCCCAUAAUUCACUGUCCUUGAUAGUCCUCCAAUGUUGCUCAGUCAGAUUACUAUUCAACAAGCGUCCGAGAGUUUUGGCAGCCAAAGGAGUACCAUGCAACUUAGAGGAAAUGCUCUGACCAAUCUCUUGUAAGCGAGGAUAUGACUCUGGGCACUCUUUACCAAACGCACAUUUCUUGAAAAAUUCCCAAAAUACACCAGCGGGCAAUCCUUCGAGCUGGAGAGGCUUACAACUGCAUUUGGACCAUGCGGUGACAUUCUGAGCAAUGUUUUUGUGUCUUGUAGUCACUAAGAUCAUGCUACCUUCAAGUCCAUUCUUCAACGGUGCAUAAAAAGACUCCCAUUGUGGUAAUUUCCCAAAUAUCAUCCAGCACCAAAAGGAACUUUUGGAUCUUCAGCAUGUGCCACAGAUCUGCUUCAAGAACACCCAAACCACAAGACAAGUCGAAGUUUGGCUGGAUGAUGAUCUCCUUUUUCAUCCUUUCAAUGUCAAACAGGUCCGAAACACAGACCCGUAUCCUUACAGUAAAGUGGCCUUCACUCUUUCAUCACUGUCGAUGAGCUGAGCCAGGGUGGUCUUCCCCAUCCCGCCAAUGCCAAAAAUUGGCAAGACAGAAACAUUGCCACAGUUAGCAGUCUCAGCAAGCCCUGCACUGCUGUUACUGUCAAAGUUAAGUCGCUUGGCUUUGGAUGUAGAUGCGAUGGCGUCAUGACUUGCUGCUUCUGUGCCUUUUCCUUUAGACCCUGCAGAUGUACUGCCCAUAGUGAGUGGCAUGCCCAUUUGUGAGAUCACCUGAUUAAUUUCGGCAGCACGAUCAAUCGUCAGAGUCACACCCAGCAUCUCCAUCACUUGAUCCCUUUCCGUGUCACGCGGUGAUGAGUUCAUUCGUUGUUGGCAUGCAUGACCUGCACUGGCUGAACACGAUCAAGACCAAUCAAGCAUAGCACUUCUUUAACUUCAGCCAUAACCUUGUGGAGCUGAUCUUUGGUGUCCCUUAUCCUUUUUACUGCUAGCAUGGACGAGAUGUUUGGCAAUAUUCAGAGAGGAUGAUGACACGAGUUGACCUGCCCUGCUCCGGCUGGCGUCCUCAAUCUUGUGCCGCAGCGCCUGGUCCUCGAACUCUCGGUGGAGGUCCUCGGCGUCGUAGGUGGUGUACUUGUGCUGCAAGAGAUGGGCCUCCACCAUGCCCCACUCGCUGCGACUGAUGAGCAGCUUGGUCUUGAGUUGGUCCAGCUCGUUUUCCAGCUGGGUCGGCGCUUGGCUCAUGCUCAUCCCGAAUGACAGGAUGCCUUGCACGGUGUCCAUGGUCGCGCGCGCUCCUAGAUCUUGGUGCGUUGGUGGAGCUGCUCGUGAAGUCGUGAUGAUGGUGCUCCUCCUCCUCUUCCUCCUGCUUGGCACAGGGGCAGAAGGGAGCGAUUACCUGAUGAUGGUGCCACCGAUUACUGGCCUUCGCCCUCCCAACACCGGACUGGUGAUUUUCACCGGAGGGAUCGUAAGAGAGAUCGGGCAGAGAGGUGUAGGAUCAAAUUGCGUGUGCACCCAACGUGGAAUGGCGCUGGAUAUAUCUAGCUACAUGGUUGCAUGCCCUGCCGAUCUGGGCAAUCGGUAUUGCAUUUGCAGAUUUGCUUCGGUUUCAUCGAUGAUCCCUCCGGCGUUGGUUUCUUCGAUCGGUCCUGUCUUGGGUUCCAUCGAACUUGAUCGAGCUGUCUUGAGGCCGGCGGAGUAACUAAGAGAUCCAUUAUUCAUCGGGAUAAGCUAGGAUCGCAGGGGCUCGUUGCGGCUGCGGGCGUGGACCACCAUCUCUUCCUGCCUGCCGCCGGCGGCCGGCGAGUGCAAGACUGGUAGGUUUAGGAGAGGAAAGGCCAAAAGGCGUGAGCUGUGAAGGAAUGGACCUGGCAACCGGGUGCGGCUUGUGUUGUAUCUUGGGCCGGUUGGGCCGAGUGCAAGUUCCGGGGCCUCCUCGGUGGUGGUUUUGUUGGCUGCAAACUGAUGAGGCCUCGUGCCUUGGCUGCGAAGAAGACGGCUACUCAAAAGCAUUUCUCCCCCAGCAGCUUGAAACGGUCGCCCGCGGACAGCAAGCAAGCGUUCGCGAGCCUGACCGUGCACUGUACAGCACAGGACAGGGAUCCAUGCUUUCCGGCAACACCCAUCGGCGCCAGGCUUACCCACCAGUACACCUGGCACCUGCUGGCUGUCCAGCUCCAAACCUCUCCAUCACAAGACAGAGGUCGUCAAUGGCUUCUUCGGUUUGCAACAGCACAGUGGACAAGAAAAGCAGGGGCAAAGCUACAUUGGGCUAGCCGAGUGAUUAGUAACUAAUUUUUACCACUUGUGCACUCCCUAACCUCCAAUUUCGUGCACCACUGUCUGGCCCACCAACAACCUGCAGCCCAGCAGUUAGCAUAGGCCAGCUUUCAGCAACCCAUCAAGCCCACGAUGCACUAUAGGUGCAUGCAGCUGCGGGCCUGCCGCAUCCGCCCGCGUGCGUUGCACGUGACAAGUCCUCACGGAGAACACGAAACAAUCGUCCGCGAAGCCCGCUCGCUCGCCCAAACGUGAGAACUCAUCGUAGAAAGGCGGCGGAAGAGAGGGAGGCGGCACUCGCGCGUCGCCGUGUCGCACCAUCUCCAGUCGCUGCGGUACGUCUCCUCGCCGGAAUCAGCACCCCCAACCUUAAGCGAUCAUCAUCAACUCCUAUUUUUUUGUUUCUCUCCAUUGUUGCACUGCACAUUCUUCUAGCCUCCCCUUUUGCUCAAGCCCACUCCACUCGAAUGGUACACAAUUAUUUUUCUCACAUGUGCUUUUGUGCCAAUCAGCUUCUUUGAAGUAAUCCGUUAGUGUUUCAAUUUCAUGGUUACUUAUUCUCCUAUAUUCAAUUGAAUUGUAGGGUUAGGGUUUGCAAUUGGGGUUUUACUUCUACAAAUUGCAAUGAAAGGGCAAAGGAGAAGGAACUUAGGAAGGAUUCAUUGAGAUUUGAGACUCAAGAAAUAAACAAAAAUCAUGUCAAGUAAGUUUAUGGGUGUUUGGUCAAUUAAUCAUUUAUUUUUCUUCCCUUGAUUCUUGAACAGAUGAACAUGAGAAGCAUUAAUGUAACUGACAUUUUAAAAAAAUGUGUUAUAUGUGUGUUUAUGGAAAGAUGGUUAAAAAGAAAAGCGCCAGAUGAUGCUAACAAUUUUUGGUAAUUCUCAUCAGCAAAACAACAAUAUUAAUGUUAAUCCAAUACCACCAGCUCCAGAAGAUAUCGAUUGGGAGGAGGAGAUCCAACUUCAUCCUGGUAAAAGAGAAGAAAUACGUUCUUGUCACCCUAAUCUUAGAGAAUCGGUAAGAAGAAUGUACUUGGCAAAUGAGCCUUGUCAGCUCGCACUCUUAAUUUUUCAUCUACUCGGAUUGGGGAUAAAAAUUGAAGGUUUAAUCUUGAAUGGUUUGAUGAAUUUGGAAACUGGCUUGAGUACAGUGAGUCUACCGAUAGAGCCUACUGUUUUACCUGUUUCUUGUUUAGAGACCCCACUAAGAAGGAGGCUGGGUACAAGUCAUUUAUUUUAGAUGGUUGGAAUAAUUGGUAUAAUAAAGAAAGAUUAAAGGAGCAUGUUGGCAGUGUUGACAGCUAUCACAAUGUAGCAACGAAAAAAAUGUGAUGAUAUGUUGAAAAGAGAAUAGCACAUUGAUGUUAAGUUACAUGAACAGCUUGAGAGUUCUAAGAAUGCAUAUUUUGUUCGACUUAAUGAUGCAAUUGAUACUAUCAGAUUGCUACUCAAGCAAGGACUACCUUUCCGGGGGCAUGAUGAAUCAAAGACAUCCUUAAACAAAGGGAACUACAGGGAAGUUUAUGAUUGCUUAGCUCAACAUGAUGCAGCUUUAGCCAAGGCAUUGACAAUUGAUGCUGCAUAUAAUAGUAUUUUGGUAUCUGCUGACAUACGGAAAGACAUCAUCAACUGUUUUGCAGAUGAUAUUUUACAUUCUAUCCUUGGAGACAUUGGGAAAGAUGUAUUUUGCUUGCUAGUUGAUGAGUCUAGAGAUGUCUCUUUCAAAGAGCAAUUGGCAGUGGUGUUAAGAUAUGUUGAUAAAUGUGGAUUUGUGAACGAGAGCUUUGUUGGUGCUAGCAAUACGCAAGGUGAGUUCAAUGGCUUAAAAUCUUUGAUCAUGAGAGAAAAUAGUAGUGCAUAUUAUCUCCGUUGCUUUGCCCAUUAACUUCAAUUAGUGGUUGUAGCUGUUGCUAGAAAGCAUACAGGCAUUGCUGAAUUUUUUAACAAUAUCUCUAUCUUAUUGAAUGUGGUUGGUGGAUCUUCAAAGAGAAGGGACAUGAUUUGAGAUAUCAAUCUCAAAGAAGUUAGUAAGGCCUUAGGCUGUGGGUUACUUAGUAUCGGGACAGGAUUGAAUCAAGAACAAUGUCUUCAAAGACCUAGAGUCUCACUAUAAAUCUCUUAGAAGUUUAGUUAAAUUCCAAAUAAUUAUCAAAGUGCUUGAAUUUGUGGAAAAGGAAGGCAGGGAGGGAAAGGCAAGGGUGUUCUUAGAAAAGUACACUCAUGAACGGGAUGAAUGAUACACGAGUUCAGCGUCACCUAGUCAAGCCGGAUUCCAGAUUCCAUCGUACUGACACUUGCUGCGCUGCUUUGCUAUCUAUUAAUUCUCCUCAAUCUAUAGUAACAGAUAACAACUCUGUCCGCAGCAUGAUAUGGAAAUUUUCUCACACUGGCGGGUACACGAUGGCUUCAGCCUAUAGAGUGCAAUUCAUUAACUUCACCAAAAAAACACAAAUCUGCGCAAUCUGGACUUCUUGCCCCUCUCCUAAAUGCAAAUUCUUCGUGUGAUUAAUCCUUCAUAACCAUGCUUGGACUUUGGAUCGGCUUGCUCAAAGAGGAUGGCCUCAUAGCCCAGCUUGCCCCCUCUAUAAACAGAUAAUGGAAUUCUCUCUUCACCUGCUGGCCAAGUGCAGAUUCACUAGGAAAAUUUGGAGUCCUCGUGGCUAUUUAGACAAAGCAGCCAGUACUACACCCACUGGAAUGGGAACAAAGCUACAAUACCUUGGAAUGGUGGACCAACAUUGAAAUGGACCUGAAUUUUCAUUUCUGAGAAUUCAAGCCUACGCACCUCCGUGAUAGUUCUAGGAGGCUAUCACGUGCGAAUCCAUGUCUCAGAUAGUACAAAUUCAUACCAACAUAGAAAUAUAAAGCAACAACAUAGUACCAUAUCAUAAAUAUCAUAAGUAACAAGUACAUCUCUUCGGUACAUGCCAGAACAUGUCCAUCAGGAUUGAAUCAGAAAGGUAAAAUAUCUAUGCAGCGAAAGCGUAAGCUACGGCGAACUCCAUCUCCAGAGGCGACUCGAGCGAAGGACCAUCCCUAGUCUUCCUAUCCAUCAUUGUCGAAGUCGUAGUCGGGCUCCGACCCUAAAAAGCCACCAUCUACUCGAGAAGCGGGUAGGCCAUGUCAACUCCCAAAAGGAGCAAGCUAAGGAAAUGGGGGAAUUAUACUAUAUGCAUGAGUAAAACCUAUAUAUGGUUGUAGAGGUGUAUGCAACAGCAGCAUCAAUCAAGGAAGCAGCAAAGCAUUACCAUCUUCGAGGUCAACACCUCAAAUAAGGAAGUUGGCACAAAUCACCAGAUCCUUCGCCCAUGGGUCCAGCAUCCAACACACUAGUCGAUGUGAGAGCUCCCUUCCCUCACAUCUCAAUGGCAAACUCCAGCCUAUCUCAAAAAGGGGAGGUAGAAGAAUAAGCAAAGUCUAGUCAGAGGUAGCGGUAGUCAAUAGCACUGUCCAUAACUAGUGGAUAUGGACUUUAGCUAUAGCUUUAUACACUCUGCAGAGGUUGUACAACUGUACCUGCAUGGAUGGAGCUUGAACGGUAGUGAUCCGUCCAAACCCCACCUAACAGCCGGAGCUCUAGUAGGUGGAUAGCUCUCUCUUGUUUCCUCAAGUCUGGAACCUUCCUCAGCUGCAGGGCAUGCCGUCACCAGUGAGGACCUCGAAGCUGUGAAAUCUACCCACGCCGGGGUGCAGUCUGGUCAGAGCAGGCCAACACCUCGAACUCCUUACACGAUCCUCCAAUCCGCCUACAGGCUAAGCACUAUCCACCAAUAGUCUCAGACCGAACCUCGCCCAUAACGUAAGUGAGCGGUAUGUACGUAAAAUAGCAGUUGUGGCUGGUGGUAAAUGACUCGAUCCUUAAGCGGCUGAGAGCGAGCACUCUACUCCACAAGUAUGUGCUGAAGCACCUGCAACGUACAAGUAUGCCACCUGCUCCUCAGUAACAAACAAGGUACCCGCCACAAGUAUGGGGUAGAGAGAGAGUCCAUAAUGCUCUCUCUCGGCAAGGCACUCCUCAGUACCAACCAUGGCUCGCUCCUACCAAAAUACAUCAAGGAGUCACACUUACCCAAAACUCACAUGAGAGUGUUUAAGAAAUCCUAUCACCAAAACCAUGGCACGCCCAUCCAUAACUCAAAAGCAUGUAUAUGGAUAUAUGAGCGGUGGACUAGCUAGGGGUCUGUAGCUAGUCCACAAAAGUAGGUAAGAAGGAAAACAUGAUAAAAAAUUAUCAAGGCAUGGCUAAAAACAUUAGCUAUACAAUCCAACAUCAUUAAGCAUCAUAAAUAAAGCGCUAACAACUAAGCAUGCACAGGAUCUAUAUGAUUGGAAGUGAUAUAAAGCACUAGCAACUAUACAUUGGCUUGCCCGUAGUCGUUUGGAUCUUCCUCAACGUAGUCGGAGUCUUGAGGGUCUUUCGGGUCGUAGCUCGGGUCUGAACAGAACGAGAUACGAUGUAAAGUAAAUUAAACGGCAUUACAUCUAGGCAAAAAUUCCAAGAAUGCUAAAUUUAGAAGAUCCAAAUAAUACCAAACUAGUUACAAACAACACGGGCUUGAUUUUAUGAAUUUAAUGCAAAUGGUUUCAUAUUUUUCAGAGUAAAAAUGAAUUAGUUAUGAAUUCUUAAAUAUUAAAGGAUUUAUUUAAUCGUUUAAAUAAUUUCAGAAAAAAAUUAUUAUUAUGGUGACACGUGUCAGUGCCUGGUUUUGCCACAUGGCAGCACGAGAGUGUGCCACAUGUCUGCUAAUGUCAGACCGGUAACGGUCAACGUUGACCCGGUCAGUCAACGAUGACCUGGUCAACGUUGACUGUCAACUGGGUCCCACCGAUCAGCAGUGGCCCCACAGGUCAGUGGGCCCUGCCAAUGGGCCACCAGUGGGCUUGGGCCUCGGACACGUCAUCGCCUCGUGACUCCACGUGGCAGCCACGUGGCCAUCUAGUCGACAUGGCACUGCCACGUGGCCGUCCCCAGCUGGUCAGGAUCCGGUGUGUCAACUGGAUCCUGUGUGCCACCCGCAUGUGGCCACGGGUGUGGCGUAGGCCUGAUUUGUGGCGACGUGGCGUGGCGGGGCGUGGCGGUGACUGCGCCUAUGACGUCGUGGUGCAGCGCGCCAGCUGUGCGUGCGCAUGGGCAUGGGGCAGUCCCCGACCACGGCACGACCGCGGUGACAUGCAGGGUCCCGGUGUCCUAGGCCCACAGUGGCUAGCGGCGAGGUGAGCAGUGGCGCUCCUAUGGCGGCUCGAAGGUCAUAUGACAAGGAAACAAGAGGAAAGAGAGGGGUAGCGAGGCUCACUGCGGGGAGAUGGCGAAGGCGGGCACUGUCGGGCGGCGGUCGACAGCUCUGGCUCCUCCCUCAGAUGGCCCCUCUUCUUCUUCUUCUCCUCUACUUCACCUCCUUCUUCCCUUUCCUCCUCUUCUCCUCCUCCUCCCUCCUCUUCUGCUCCUUCCCCCUUCUCUCACUCGGGUGGCUGGCGGCGCAAGGGUGAAGCCCUGGGUGGAUGGCAACAAGAGGCCCCGGGUGCCUCUACUUAUAGCGGAGAGGCGGCUAGGGUUCCGAAGGGAGGGUGCGGCGGCGCGCUUGGGUUUGGGGGCGUGGCGCUGGCGACGUGGACAGCCGGGAUGCGGCAGCGCACGGUACGGGUGGUGUGGCGGCCAUUCGAGGUCGCUAGCGCAAAAGCAAGGGCGCGGGCGAGGUCACGGGUGCGCGCUCCCAUGUGGGAGUGUGUGCCAGCACGGACGGGGAGGCGCGCGUGAGCGGUACGGCUGGAGGAAGAAGGAAGAGGAACAAGGGCACCUGAUGGGCGGGUCCAGCGCGGCGGCGAGAGAGAAAGAGAGGGAGAGCGGGGCGCGGGCAGCAAUGUGCGGGCUGGGCCAGCUGGCCGGUUAGGAGGCCUGCUGGGCUGAUCACCAGGCUGCGCAGGCGAGGCGGCGGAGCAGGCCAGGCUGGCUGGGUCGGGGCGAAGGCGGGUGAGGGUGAGGCGUGAGAGGAUCACGCCGGUUGGCUGCGGCCAGCCUGGUUGGGUAGAGGGUUAGACGAGAUCCAAAUAAAAUCUAAAAAGAUCCAAAUCAUUCCACACAAGUUUUGAAAUGGAAUUUUGGGAUGAGAAGAGAAUUUGACUACCAUUUUCAAACAAGCACAAAAUUCAAACAAAAGUUUUGAAUUUUUGGAAAUUUCACUUAAAUAAAUAUUACAAAAUUAUGGAAUAUUACAAACAUAACUGCUCCACCUCGUACCCCGAGAAAUGCGAUACGAAGCCUCAACGUCUGGGAAAUUUGGUUAAAACGAAACUCUACAUUUUUCUCGGACUGUGUGAGUCCUCCUUGAUUUCCUUGAUGGCAAAAAUUAAAAAGGAAGCGGCUGCUUGGGUGGGGGCAGGGAAUACUUGUGUCCCACCUUACAUUGAACAACAGAGCACAAUACUUGUGUCAGUAUAAAAAAAAACUUGUGUAAGGCCAGCUACACAAGUUAGCUCGCAUUUCAUAAUUAAGUUUCAGAUUUCGUGCAAGGCCAGAUACUUUAGCACUGCACUCUUGAUGUACCGAAAGGAAGAUUAACAUAUAAGUACAAUACCGAAGUAAUGACUAUGGAAAUAGGCUUAGAAAUACAACAGAAGCUAGGUACAGUGCAAUAAACCUUAGUGCCUCAUCAUAGCUCCCUUAGCUUCCAGGAAAGUAUAAUGCUGUAUUUGCAGAGAAAAAAAAUAUCACCUUCUAGUGGUGAUCAAGUACGCGAGACUCUUGCACUUGCAAUAGAAAGAUCUGCCAAACCGGUCCCAUUUGACCACAAUAGCAGCUGCAAAGCCAACGCCGAAGCCAAGCCCAACGAAGAGAAACAAAACCACAUCAAUAUGACGAGAUGACUUGUCCCCAUGUGCCACACCUGGAGAGUGAGGUGAACUACCACAAGGAAAUUUUGGCAAUUGCAGCCCACACAAUCCAGCAUUCCCUUCAAAUGAGCUGCUGUCAAAUGUAGAGAACUGACGUGACUGCGGUAUCUUCCCCACCAAGUGAUUGUAUGACAAGUUUAGGGAGCCAAGAAAGGUGAGAUCAGUUAGCUCUUGUGGAAUGUCCCCUGAGAGUUGGUUGCAGGACAGGUCUAGUGACUCCAAAUCAGUCAUGCUUCCAAGUUGGGCUGGAAUUUUUCCAGUGAAGGCAUUGUGUGACAGACUCAGUACGCGUAGUGAUACAAGGCUUCCAAAUGUUUCAGGAAUAGUACCCUCCAAACUAUUUUUUGAGAAGUCAAUUGCUGUUACGGUAGUCAGCAUCCUUCCAAAUGGCAUAUCUGCCCCCUUGUACAUGAUCUCAACAGAAUAUUGAUAUAAAUGUUCUCCGUUAUUGAUAGUUAUAGUGUCUAGAGUUCCGAGAGGUUUCCCAGAACUAUUAAACUCUGCCAUCAUUGACUUUAACUGCUCGAACCAUUGUGGCCUCAAAGUACCAGAGAAGUUGUUUGAGGCAAGAUCGAUAAUUUGCAAGCUAGGGAAACAUUCCUCACAUUUUGUGUCCCCAACAAUAUCACCUAUGGUGCCAUACAUUUGGUUUGAUCUCAGGACGAGUACAGAAAGAUUGGGAAGCCCCCUCAACCAAGAAGGAAAAGCAUCAGCUAUUUUGUUGCUUCCAAAGUCUAUAACCUCCAAGUCUGUACAGUUAGAAAGGCCCCUAGGAAGCCUCCCUUCGAUCUUAUUGCCAUGUAAAUCUAUCGUCUGUAAAUUACAUCUUGUUGUUAUAUUGGAAGGCAGCAUCCCUUUCAAGUGAUUCUCCCUCAAAUUUAAAAAACUUAAGGGGGUAUUUUCUAUAAAACAAGGUGGAAUCGGGCCAUUAAAGUAGUUAUAUGAUAGAUCAAGGACAUCCAGCUCUGUGGCAUUGCAAAUUGAGGGAGAUACAUGGCCGUGUAUAUUAUUUUUGGACAUGCUGAGAUAAAUGGUGUCCCGAAGAUAGGUGGUCCAGUUUGGCAGAAGGGAAGAGAACAUGUUGUUGGAAUAAUCCAAGACUUGUCCUGAUAAUUUUGGCAUAGGGAUCAUCCCUGAAAGUCUAUUGAAACUAAGAUCAAGCACUUCCAUUGGUGUAUUGAAGGGGACAGCAUCCGAAUUAAGUUGCAUGCCCGUGAACAUGUUAUGUGAAAGAUUCAAAUGAGAUCCCCUCGUCUCCCAGAUCCAAUUUGGUAUAUCCCCACUGAUUUUAUUACAUGAAAGAUCCAAAUACCAUAUACGGUCAACAUGCCUCAAAAAUCUUGGAAGUUGAGUUAUCUUGCAAGAUGCGAGCCCUAAUUCAUGUAGUCCAUCCAAAUAGCUGGUUUCCACUGGAUUAUUAUCUUCUGAGGCCAUGACAUGCAACUUAUUGUAGGAAAGAUGCAAAACAGUGAGGUAAUUUAAUCUCCGAAAAUGUGCAAGGUCCACGGAACCUAUCAAGUUGUUUGAGCUAACAUCUAUACAUACUAAACUUGUUAGUUGAAAGAUGGCUUUGGGAAUAAAACCUGACAAUUCAUUGUUCUUGAACCUCACGGUCUCCAACUGUGGACCUGCCUUGUCAAAGCCUUGUAUAGGGCCAGAAAGCUGGUUGAAAGAGAGAUCAAGGCGAUUUAAUAUAGGAAGACUGAAAAUAGAUGGUGGAAUCUCCCCUGGAAGGACAAUAGAAAACAUUAAGUUAGAAAGUGUUUCCCCUUCUACAAAUUGAAAUUAGAAGAUGCUACCUCCUAUUUUGUUCAGAACAUGAAUACUUGACCCUUUCUCGAGAAAAGUAAAAGAUGAUAUCGUACCAUAGAAAUAUAUAUCCCAAGUUUAUUUAUUUUAUUUUGAGAAAAUUGCAUUAGUAGUCUCAAAAUAAAUGGCCAAAACUUGUGUGGUAACCUCGCCGACCCUUGCACUUGUUGCAAAUUACUUUCCCCAGCCCCCUCGUCUUUGUUGUGCCACGUGUUAGGCAAUGGUUUCAUGCUGGUUCAACACAUUAAUUUGCUAAUAGUGGGAUGGGUGAGAUUAGUGUGUGCAAGUUUAAGGACUACCGGAAGAAUUUAGUGCACCUACGGGCCAUAGAAUUUCAUAAUCCUAGGACCCAUGAAGCUGAAAUGAUCCGGACCCAUCAUGGAUCAUAAUUUUAUGGUAUUAUGAUUUAUGAUACCCGGUGUAUAGUCCUGUACCAUCAAAAAGAAUUGGUAAGAUCACUUAUAUAGAAUCCCAAUCCUAACAUCAAAAUUUGUUAAUAUCUGAAAUUAAAUCCAUGAGUAAUUAUAUAUGUUUCUUCAGUUUAAUUCGACAUCUUUUACUCUUUGCAUGACAUCUGACCAUUAAAUUAUUUUAAAUUAUGAUUAGAUAAUGUUUGGAGUUAAGUUGAAAUGUCGAAUUGACAUUGACACGAAUAAGUAGACUCGAGUUUACAAGAAUUAAUAAAUUUAUAAAAAUAGCAUUGUAGAUUUCUUUUCAAGAACUUGUUUAACUUUUUAAUACAUGCAUAUUUUUACUCAUUACGCUGCAAAAUCCUCCCCCAAAGUUCUUGACACAGUGUCAAACUCAUUUGUUGUGUUUAAGCUCUUGCAAUGAUCUAUAUAAGCUGCCAGCUUUUGUAUAAGAGGGCCGGGUUAGAGAAGUAUAUCGUGUCAACUACGCCAAUGAAAUUCUUUUAGAGUAAACUAGAGCAAAUGAGAAGCUUUAUGAGCCCUAAUACCAUUUAAGAUUUCCAUUGUCCUUCCUACCCUGUCAAAUGAACACUCAAGCUCAUAUAGAAGUGACAUGUGUGGUUGUUGCAUCAAGAAGGAACCUUAAGGGAGGAUUUUGCAACAGGGUUAGGCUUGUGGGUUCGUUAGGCCCUUCACACAACGUGUGCUUGGAGUAUUGCUUGAAAUGGAGAGAGGAGGUUUGGGCAUCAAUCACUCCCCCAAGUGGCCAAGUUGAAACCAGGAGCAGCACUGUGACAGAAUAAAACAGAUACCAACUUUUCUCACAUGGGCCUCGACUUUUUUUCCUAGAGUCACUCGACAUAGUAGAGGCCUUAAUGCAACUAUAUUUCUUUUAGGGGAUAAUUGCAACUCAAGAUGACUACUAGGAGCAUGAGACGUGCACACAUGCGUCAGUGGCAAGCUUGCACCUACUCUGAGCAGAGGAGGGCGCAGUUGGAGCUUGCAAGGCCCACGGUGUGGAGCACUGACGCUUAGGGAUGCAAACAGGCUAACCCAGAUAUAGGGCUGAAUCAUGUUGGCAACUGUAGCAUAGACUAUAAGUGGGUUCGCAGGCUAGCCUGCUUGAUUUGCAGCAAUAUAUUAUGGUGGAGGGAUGCCCUUGACCUGUUACAUGCCUUUACAAAUUAAGAGCAUGUUAGGAGAUCCUUACUCCUCAAUCCAACUACCAUAUUGGGAGGGUUAACAAAAAAUAGUGUUCCAGCAGAUUUUUUUUACUUUUUUCCAUUUCACAAUAGUUAUUAGGAAAAACUAAUAAUCCACCCUAACUUAUCCUAAAAAAAGAGUAUCUCAAUAUGGUAGUUUGGAUUGUGAUUAUUGGGGAACUGCAAAAACAACUUUUCCAAUAACCAUAAAAGAAAUAUUGGGACAUUUCCAUUACCUUGUUAUUAGGAAAAAUUGAUUGGAAAACUGGUGAAGAUGCUCUAAGGGAUCCUCAAGUUGGCGUGCGACUGCGCACGCGGUGGGGGGAGCACAAGCAGCCCAAUAUGACUUAAUUUUAGCCCAAGUUAGGUUUAGUUGUGACCAAACUAACAUCCAUGUUCUAUUUUUUUCCCUUUCUUCAUUCUUUUGGGUUUUACAUUCUCUUGUCCUUUUCUUUAAUUAUUUCCUUUUAUAUUAUUCUGCAUAUUAUUUUAUUUCCUUUAUAUUUAUUAUUUGUUUCUAUUAUUUGUUUCGUUUUCUUUUCUGUUUUCCUUUUCUACUAGGAAAUUCUAACUUUUCAUUUAUUUUAUUGUUUCCGUUUUUAUUAUCUUUUAUGCUUCUUUUAUUUUUUAUUUUUAGUAACAAUUUUUUGUAUAUUUUGUUUGCUAGUAAGAAUAAUUUAUUCAAUUAGUUUUCUUUAUUGUUUCACUCUAGCACUACUUUAAAAAUCAUUUGUGCAUACGAUCAUUCUAUUUUUUUUUACAACGGUGCUUAAUAACAACCGUCUCUAGCAAGGGUUCCAAAAAUACAAGUAUUUAUAGAGGUGGGCCACAUAAUUAAGUAACUGUCUGAAAAUCAAUUUGGAAGGCACACCACCUAAGCUGCUACUACUAGAAAUUGACUUCUAGAGGCAGGCCUAAUAAGCAACUGCCUCUAAAAUUGUAAACAACCAAUUUUAAAGAAAAAUAAUAUUCUUUUUUAAAUGAAGAAGAAUGAAGACAAAUUUACUAGCAUAACUAUAGAGCUCGAUGACAUCUAAAAUUUCAUAGUUCAUAACCUUUUCAUGUAAGACUAUUUACAAGCCCAAAUAAAAUUCAUCACCAUUUCUUAUAUUUAUUUUUAAAAAUAAAUUAUGAUUUCCAAAAUGGCCUUGGAAGGAGAUGUGCUCUUCAAAAAAGUUGUAGUGCAUGACGAGAUCUAAAAAUUUGUAAUUGAUAUUUUUUUUCAAAUUUAUGAUCGUUAGAGUGUCAAAUGCAUAGUACAAUAUUCAGAGAAGUGAAAUCAAAAGAAUCCCUUAUAUAGUUAAUAUGUGUUUCGUAAAGAGAAAACUACGCGUGAAGAGACGUGUCGUACCAUGAAUUUUUUGGAUUUCAGGAUAUGACUAGAAAUAAUAAUUAAACAAUAAUUUUCAAUAAUUUUAAUUUUUUUCAACAUUUAUUUUCUUGAGAGGAAAUUUAGUAUAGGAAAAUGAUUGGUUAUUUUUUCUAAAUUAAAUAAAUUAGUUCUUUGUGUGUUGCAUUCAUGCCGAGGCAUCUUGGUGUUUCAUGAGUGCAGACAUUUUAAAAAUGUGUUUCUAUAACAUUUAGGUUCUUCUAAGAAUUUUCCAAAUUUUUCUAGGAUCUAUUGUCAUUUUCGUAGAGCUAAAUAUUUUUAUUAUAAGGCCCUAGAAUCCCUUUCUUGAGUUCCAAGUAUUUUAUUUGGAUUCAUCGUGUCCCAAACUAUCUCUAUAAAUUUUCCUAGGAUUUUAGCUUUUUAGAGUACUUUUUGUGGUUUCAUUGAUUUAUCUAGAAUUUUCUAGAUUUAUCUUUGCACGGGAAACAUCUCUAAAAAUGAAAUAGAAAGAAAUCCCCUUUUCUUGAGGUUGGGCUCAUGGGACCGACCUGCUCUAGCCCAGCAGCCGGCCUGCCAGGCCCAUCUGAGCCCUGCAGCUCUUGGUGUCCAUGCCGGACACAGUAUGGCACCACCGCCUCCCCAACUAACUUGGGUGUGCAUGCCACGGCUCCACCCCUGCCCCCAUAAAUAGCGAAGCCGCAUCCCCUGCUUGCCAUGCUGCCCCAACUCGUGCAUGUGCUGCGCCUCGCCCUUGCUCGCGCAAGCGCUGCCAACCGCCGGAGCCGAGCUGCGCCGCCACCUCGAUCUGCCAGACCCCGGCGUCCCAAGACCAAGCCGCCACCUCCCAGAGUUGCGCCACGACAGGCCGCCUCCAACCAAGGCAUCCACUACACCAAAAAGGCCACUGGAGCAACACUGCCUCGCCUCGCAACGCCAAUCCGGCCGCCGUCUGUUGUCCGCUGCCAGCCAAAAUUCCAACUGGAAUCUGUCCACCCCGCCGCUGGUGAGCACCUCCAUAGAGUCCCCUCGACCUCCUCUUCCAAUCCCCGUCCUCGCGACCGGACUGCCCCCAAUCCCGCUGGUCAGAAGCCAGCCACCAUGGCCAUUAGAAGCUCUUUGAGCUUUUGUGAUUAGGCCCCUUGGAGAUCUUGUAAUGUUUACAAGUUUUCCUAUGUCUUGCUCCUUGUACCGUGAACCCCAUGGACUUUAUCUGAUCCUUGCAAUCAAACCAAGUUGUAAUCUUUAUCAGAUCUAACCUCGAGCCUUAUCAAUUUCGCGAGCACUCUUUGAUGUGUCUUGCAAAUCUUCUCUGCUAGCCCCUAUUGUCUAGGGUUAAUCACGAUUAGACCCCUGCAGCUUGUUUCAUCGAUCCUUUGUUUUAGCUCCGUUUAACCUCGUUCUUAUUGUGUUAGGUUGAUGAUAACAUAAAUUACACGUUAGUAAUGAUGGUUUCCAUCAUGCAUGUUUUUGAAAAUAAAUUUAAUAUUAAUUUAUUGAUGCCUGUUAAACAUGUCUUCCUUAAUUAAAAUCUACAUAGAGUUAUACACCUCUUUUUAUAAUCAAUGUUAAUUCGAUUAAUGCUUACUUCAUAUAUUUUUCUAAAUAAAAGCAAAGUAGAGCUACACCUCGGUUUUUCAUAAACUAAUGUUAAUUAUUUUAAUAUUCAACAUUGAGUCAACUUUUCCAAAUAAAAGUUGAUUAGGCUUUUACACUGGCUUUUAUAAAUAAAUAUUAGCUUGAUUAAUACCAACAUGAUUAUGUUUUCAAUAACAAUUUGAUCCACUUGAAUCAUAAAGUAUACGUUUAGAUGUUUCACAUAGUUUGGCUUUUCUAAACGUUAAAUGUUUAAAUGAUUGAUAAAAUGACCAAUGUCAAUAUGAAUGUGUUUUCUAAAUAAACUUUGUUUAGCCCAACAUGACAGAUGUAUUAAUUUGAUUAGAUGUGUUCAUCUUUCUAAAGUUUAGUGUGUAACGGGUAUAAUUUAUACAUGAACAUUUAUGAAUAAAUCUUGAUUAGGUUUUACCUCUGUUUUUUAAAUAAAGUAUAAUUUGCAUUAAUUCCAACAUAGGUUAUUUUUGUUUCUAAAGUAUCCUUUACAUAUAUUUUGUUAAUUAAAAUAAACCGGGUGUGACAAGAGCAAUCUUGGUUCAAAUCCUAUAUACUGCACAUUUGCAUAUUUUGUGUGAGAAAUUGUAUGAUGUGUGACAGCUAGAAAUUUGCUAGCUACAUAUACCUAACUUUUUUAUGCGCGGGUACGGCUGACUAGCUUCUCCAGAGCAAGCAGACUCAUGCCCCUCCAGCAGGUGUAGUUUGGUCAAGGAGGGAGCAGAGGCGCCGGCCACCUCACACAUCUGUCACGGUUUAACUUGUCACUAGUGGCAUGUCGGGCGUAGGGCUAUGUUUUUUUUUAACUAA